rnacentral:lncRNA from 1 species
GUUGAGAAGUCAAUAUUAGCCCAAAUAAGUCCACACCUAAAUUAAUUUGAUGUCAUUGCUUACAUCAAUUUAGUUAGGUGAAAAUUAGGUAUUUUUCCCAUGUUUAAUUUCAAUGGUUUAAAUUAGUUUGUGGUUAUUUUAAUGAGUGGUUUAGAUUGUUUCUUGUAACCUAUAAAUACCUCAUUUGUAUUUGAGUUUUAUUAUUCAACAAUAAAAAGCUUUAUUAUAAGCAUUUGAAAGCUUUCUUAAGAGUUCUUCUCUUUUUGCAAUUUUGUGAGAUUAUUCUAAAGAGAGUUUUUCUUCUUCUUGAUCAAUUAGAGUUUUUACUCUAUUUUGAUUCAACAUUUGGUAUCAGAGCAUUGGUUGUAAAGUCUCUUGAAAUUCCGAGUAUGCUCUGUGGUUGCAGUUUUGACUGAUCUUCCACAUCAGAAAAGAUUUCUUGAGAUUAUUGCUGGGGUUAUCACAAACCUUGAGAGGGAGCUUCUUUGUGUCAAGAGUAGUGUAUUAUUCUGCACGGUAGUCACUCAAGAUUGUUCGGUGUAGUCAAAGUCUUGUCGAUACGAUGGGUGAUCUUCAAGUUGUUGGAGGAAUCAAGAAGCUCAACAACCAAAACUAUAACACGUGGGCAACGUGUAUAGAGUCUUACCUUCAAGGUCAAGACUUGUGGGAGGUUGUCGGUGGUAGUGAAGUUACACAACCGGCAGCGGAAGAUGCUAACGGCGUCUUGCGGAAGUGGAAAAUUAAAGCAGGCAAAGCAAUGUUUGCUUUAAAGACCACAAUAGAAGAAGAAAUGUUGGAGCACAUUCGGGAUGCUAAAUCACCGAAGGAAGCGUGGGACACCUUCACUACACUCUUUUCGAAGAGGAACGAUACAAAAUUGCAACUUCUCGAGAAUGAACUUCUAUCAAUGGCGCAACGCGACAUGGCGAUUGCCCAAUACUUUCACAAGGUGAAGUCGAUAUGCCGCGAAAUUUCAGAAUUAGAUCCGACAGCCGCUAUUGGGGAAGCCAGGAUAAAAAGAAUAAUUGUCCAUGGCUUGAGACCCGAAUACCGAAGCUUUGUAGCCGCUGUACAAGGAUGGCCGACACAACCAUCACUUGUUGAGUUUGAAAAUUUGCUGACAGGCCAAGAAGCUAUGGCCAAGAAAAUUGGAGGAGUCUCACUAAAGGGUGAAGAAGAAGCGCUUUACACCAACCAAAGCAGAGGUGGUUUAAGACAGCACAACAAAGGCGGAUCUAGAAAGACUAGUGAACAGACAAAAAGUCAUCAGGGAGGGAAUGGCUCUCGUCUAGGGGGAGCUUCGAAGAAUCGCGACAGUAAUAGAAAGUUCAUUGUUGAAUGUUACAAUUGCGGGAAGAAGGGCCACAUGAAGAGAGAUUGUUGGUCCAAAAGAAGUCUACCGAAAGCAAUAUUGUUACUUCUAGUUCUAAAGAAGAUAGUGAAGAUAGCUGGGAUGCCGAAGCAUUACUCGCUAUGGAGGAAGAAGAAUUAGCUCUCACGGUAACAACACCAGAAAAGAUUAACUACGAGAAUGAUUGGAUCGUAGACUCAGGCUGCUCAAAUCACAUGACGGGUGAUAGACAGAAGUUGCAAAACUGUUCUGAGUACAAGGGAAAUCGUGUGGUGGUAACAGCUGACAACUCAAGGUUACCGAUAGCUCACAUCGGUAAAGCGAUCGUUACACCUCGAUAUAGUCCCAACCAAGUGCCACUUCAAGAUGUCUACCAUGUUCCAGGAAUGAAGAAAAAUUUGCUAUCCGUAGCUCAAUUGACAUCAUUAGGGCACUAUGUCUUGUUUGGUCCACAAAAUGUGAAGGUAUUCCGAGACCUAAAGAUCUCAGAAAAGCCUACGAUGGAGGGACGGCGAUUGGAGUCAGUUUAUGUGAUGUCAGCUGAGUCUGCAUACGUAGACAAGACAAGAAGGAAUGAGACGGCAGAUCUAUGGCACAUGCGGCUAGGUCAUGUUAGUUAUUCCAAGCUAAGUGUGAUGGUGAAGAAGUCGAUGCUUAAGGGACUUCCUCAACUUGACGUGAGAACAAAUACUGUUUGCGCGGGAUGUCAAUAUGGUAAAGCACAUCAAUUGCCAUACGAGGAGUCGAAGUUUAAAGCAAAGAAACCAUUAGAGUUAAUUCACUCUGAUGUGUUUGGACCCGUUAAGCAACCAUCAAUUGGCGGAAUGCGGUAUAUGGUUACGUUCAUUGAUGAUUUCUCCAGAUAUGUAUGGGCUUUCUUCAUGAAAGAAAAAUCUGAAGCAUUCUCAAAGUUCAAAGAGUUCAAAGAGAUAGUCGAAGGAGAAGUGGAGCAAAAGAUUCGUUGCUUGCGCACAGACAACGGGGGUGAGUAUAGCUCGAGAGAGUUUUCUCAAUACCUACGGGAAUGCCAAAUACGUCAUCAGUAUACUUGUGCCAAUACGCCACAACAAAAUGGUGUAGCAGAGAGGAAGAAUCGGCACCUUGCUGAAAUUUGCCGGAGUAUGCUACAUGCGAAGAAUGUACCUGGAAUAUUUUGGGCCGAAGGUAUGAGAACUGCAGCUCAUGUCAUCAACAAGCUUCCUCAACCAAGGUUGGAGUUUGUUUCACCCUUUGAGAAAUUGUGGAACAAGAAACCUAUAGUUAGCUAUCUUCGAGUAUUCGGCUGUGUAUGCUAUGUAUUUGUUCCUGACCAUCUACGUAGCAAGAUCGAUAAGAAAGCAGUCAGAUGUAUCUUUGUGGGAUACGACAAUCAGCGAAAAGGGUGGAAGUGUUGUGAUCCAGUAGAUGGAAGGUGCUACACAUCACGAGAUGUGGUGUUUGAUGAAGCAUCCUCAUGGUGGACCUCAGAAAAAGAAGUGCUGCCAGACUCGAAAGAAUUCGAAGACAUGCUACAACAAAAGAUGGGGGAGCAUACUGUCCAAAUUCAUCUAAGCUCAGCUGGGGAUCUAUGCGAUAGUGAUAGCGAACGAAGAGUAACUCUAAAUCCUUGGCAAUCUGGGGUGUAUCGACAACCAGAUGAAGAAGGUGUGCCUAGUGAAACNNNNNNNNNNNNNNNNNNNNNNNNNNNNNNNNNNNNNNNNNNNNNNNNNNNNNNNNNNNNNNNNNNNNNNNNNNNNNNNNNNNNNNNNNNNNNNNNNNNNNNNNNNNNNNNNNNNNNNNNNNNNNNNNNNNNNNNNNNNNNNNNNNNNNNNNNNNNNNNNNNNNNNNNNNNNNNNNNNNNNNNNNNNNNNNNNNNNNNNNNNNNNNNNNNNNNNNNNNNNNNNNNNNNNNNNNNNNNNNNNNNNNNNNNNNNNNNNNNNNNNNNNNNNNNNNNNNNNNNNNNNNNNNNNNNNNNNNNNNNNNNNNNNNNNNNNNNNNNNNNNNNNNNNNNNNNNNNNNNNNNNNNNNNNNNNNNNNNNNNNNNNNNNNNNNNNNNNNNNNNNNNNNNNNNNNNNNNNNNNNNNNNNNNNNNNNNNNNNNNNNNNNNNNNNNNNNNNNNNNNNNNNNNNNNNNNNNNNNNNNNNNNNNNNNNNNNNNNNNNNNNNNNNNNNNNNNNNNNNNNNNNNNNNNNNNNNNNNNNNNNNNNNNNNNNNNNNNNNNNNNNNNNNNNNNNNNNNNNNNNNNNNNNNNNNNNNNNNNNNNNNNNNNNNNNNNNNNNNNNNNNNNNNNNNNNNNNNNNNNNNNNNNNNNNNNNNNNNNNNNNNNNNNNNNNNNNNNNNNNNNNNNNNNNNNNNNNNNNNNNNNNNNNNNNNNNNNNNNNNNNNNNNNNNNNNNNNNNNNNNNNNNNNNNNNNNNNNNNNNNNNNNNNNNNNNNNNNNNNNNNNNNNNNNNNNNNNNNNNNNNNNNNNNNNNNNNNNNNNNNNNNNNNNNNNNNNNNNNNNNNNNNNNNNNNNNNNNNNNNNNNNNNNNNNNNNNNNNNNNNNNNNNNNNNNNNNNNNNNNNNNNNNNNNNNNNNNNNNNNNNNNNNNNNNNNNNNNNNNNNNNNNNNNNNNNNNNNNNNNNNNNNNNNNNNNNNNNNNNNNNNNNNNNNNNNNNNNNNNNNNNNNNNNNNNNNNNNNNNNNNNNNNNNNNNNNNNNNNNNNNNNNNNNNNNNNNNNNNNNNNNNNNNNNNNNNNNNNNNNNNNNNNNNNNNNNNNNNNNNNNNNNNNNNNNNNNNNNNNNNNNNNNNNNNNNNNNNNNNNNNNNNNNGCUGUGUAUGCUAUGUAUUUGUUCCUGACCAUCUACGUAGCAAGAUCGAUAAGAAAGCAGUCAGAUGUAUCUUUGUGGGAUACGACAAUCAGCGAAAAGGGUGGAAGUGUUGUGAUCCAGUAAAUGGAAGGUGCUACACAUCACGAGAUGUGGUGUUUGAUGAAGCAUCCUCAUGGUGGACCUCAGAAAAAGAAGUACUGCCAGACUCGAAAGAAUUCGGAGACAUGCUACAACAAAAGAUGGAGGAGCAUACUGUCCAAAUUCAUCUAAGCUCAGCUGGAGAUCUAUGCGAUAGUGAUAGCGAACGAAGAGUAACUCUAAAUCCUUGGCAAUCUGGGGUGUAUCGACAACCAGAUGAAGAAGGUGUGCCUAGUGAAACAGAAGAAUCAACUCCAUUACGAAGGUCAACAAGAACCCGAAGGCCAAAUCCCAAAUACGCUAAUGCAGCCAUAGUUGAAGAAGCAACUGGAAUAGAACCUGAGACGUUCGAAGAAGCGUCACAGAGUUCUGAGUGGAUGACAGCUAUGAAAGACGAGAUCACUGCACUUGAGCAAAAUCAGACCUGGGAACUCGUGCCAAAGCCAAAAGAUGUGAAACCCAUAUCCUGCAGAUGGGUUUACAAAAUAAAGCACCGUCCAGAUGGGUCAAUCGAGAGGUACAAGGCUCGAUUGGUAGCUCGUGGUUUCUCUCAACAAUAUGGACUAGAUUAUGACGAAACGUUUAGUCCAGUGGCAAAACUUACAACCGUCCGAGUCUUACUUGCACUUGCAGCCAACAAAAGCUGGAACUUGUGGCAGAUGGACGUGAAGAAUGCCUUUCUCCAUGGAGAGCUGGAUAGAGAGAUCUACAUGAUUCAACCGAUGGGUUUCCAGAACCGAGGUCAUCCUGAGUAUGUGUGUAAGCUGCGAAAGGCUCUUUACGGACUAAAACAAGCACCCAGGGCGUGGUAUGGCAAGAUUGCUGAAUUUCUAACUCAAAGUGGGUAUUCAGUAACAUCUGCAGACUCCAGCUUGUUUGCUAAAGCUAAUGGAGAAAGGAUAGCUAUUGUGCUCGUGUACGUAGAUGAUCUAAUCAUCACUGGAGAUGAUGUUGAAGAAAUUUUCCGAACAAAGGAGAACUUGUCAGUUCGUUUUCAAAUGAAAGAACUUGGACAACUUAAGCAUUUCCUUGGGCUAGAGGUUGAUCAGACGAAAGAAGGGAUAUUUCUUUGUCAACAGAAAUAUGCCAAAGAUUUGUUGAAGAAGUUUGGGAUGCUAGAAUGUAAGUCGAUCUCAACGCCGAUGGAACCAAAUGCCAAGAUGUAUGCACAUGAAGGCAAAGACCUGGAAGAUGCAUCGAUGUAUCGACAAUUAGUGGGUAGUCUAAUCUACUUAACCUUGACUCGACCUGACAUUUCUUAUGCAGUUGGCGUGAUGAGUCGAUACAUGCAAAAUCCGAAGAAGUCUCAUUUAGAAGCGGUUCGGCGAGUACUCAGAUAUGUGAAGAGUACAAUAGACUAUGGUCUUCUAUACAAGAAAGGUGGAAAUUGCAAACUAGUUGGCUACUGUGAUGCUGACUAUGCAGGAGAUCACGAUACUCGCAGAUCAACUACUGGGUAUAUGUUUACCCUUGGAUCUGGAACGAUUUCUUGGUGUAGCAAGAGACAACCGACUGUGUCCAUGUCAACUACGGAAGCAGAGUAUCGAGCAGCAGCAAUGGCAGCUCAAGAAAGCACGUGGCUGAUACAACUAAUGAAUAAUCUACAUCAACCAAUAGAUUAUACAGUUCUGUUGUACUGUGACAACCAAUCGGCAAUUCGGCUAGCGGAGAAUCCUGUUUUUCAUGCAAGAACUAAACAUGUGGAAGUGCAUUACCACUUUGUUAGGGAAAAAGUUCUGCAAGAAGAGAUUGAGAUGAGGCAAGUUAAGACAGAUGAACAAACUGCUGACUUGUUUACAAAAAGCUUGAGUGUUGGAAAGUUUGAACAUUUCCGUCGUCAGCUUGGCGUGAUUCAAAGAAUGGGGGCUAACAUUGAGGGGGAGUGUUGAGAAGUCAAUAUUAGCCCAAAUAAGUCCACACCUAAAUUAAUUUGAUGUCAUUGCUUACAUCAAUUUAGUUAGGUGAAAAUUAGGUAUUUUUCCCAUGUUUAAUUUCAAUGGUGAAGUCAAUAUUAGCCAAAUAAGUCCACACCUAAAUUAAUUUGAUGUCAUUGCUUACAUCAAUUUAGUUAGGUGAAAAUUAGGUAUUUUUCCCAUGUUUAAUUUCAAUGGUUUAAAUUAGUUUGUGGUUAUUUUAAUGAGUGGUUUAGAUUGUUUCUUGUAAUCUAUAAAUACCUCAUUUGUAUUUGAGUUUUAUAAUUCAACAAUCAAAGCUUUAUUAUAAGCAUUUGAAAGUUUUCUUUAGAGUUCUUCUCUUUUGCAAUUUUGUGAGAUUAUUCUAAAGAGAGUUUUUCUUCUUCUUGAUCAAUUAGAGUUUUUACUCUAUUUUGAUUCAACACUUAUCUUUCUAAAAGAUUAACAAAAAUCUCAGCUCAGCGCUGAAUAAAAAUUCCUGUAAACUAGGAACAUAAAACUCAAUAAUGACAUGGAAAGCUUAUAUUCAAAUUCAAUUGUAUUCAUGAUAUGAUUAUUUCAAACAACCAACCAAAAAUACUUAAAACAAAAACCCAAUUGUGAAACUAAAAAAACCCAACUCUCAUAUUCUCCGAAGAAUGCACUAAAUUAAUUAAUUAAAUUUUUUAAAAAAGAAACAAACCUAAAUUCAGGUACGAGGCAAAAAGAUUGGGGAAAAAAAAGAAAGAAUAGGAAAGGAAAUGAACCUUGGGAGUCCAAAGCGUGUCGCUUGAAGCGACGCCGUUCCAAGCACGGGAUACAAGGAGAGUCAGUGCUACGCUGUGUGCUUUUAGGUUUUGAAGUAUCAUCAACAUUAUGUCUCUACCAAAAGCAUCCAGUGCGUCCUGCAAUAAUUCUUCAGUUUCUUCUUCUUUUAGUUUUUCUUUUCUUUCCUCUCGCUUUCUCUCCUUUAUCAGUUUCAUCUUCGUCUUCUUCUUCUUCAGUAAAACGACAUCAUUUUCCUGUUCUUCUCUUUUUCGCAGUUCCAUUCUGUGUGGUAGCAGCUAUUACUACAGAGCAAGCGAAUGAAAGGAAUGACCAGAAGCUGCGAAAAAUGAGGUAAUUGUAAUAACUCCGAAAAACAUCAAAAUAUAAAAAUAUGUUAAUGCUAAAGGACCUGUCUAUGGUACAGGUUCUGUAACAAACAUCUCCCGUCAUCCCACCAUCCGAUUUUCUAUUGUUUAGUUUCUCACUCCACAUCCAACCACAUCCAACGGCUGAUGCUGCAGUCUGUACCUUACAGAUUCUGUAAGCUAGUCGAGUCCAAUGCUAAAAUGCCCAUAUUUAAUUUUUUUAAAAUCAUUUACAGUAUGUAGAAAUAUACGACCGACAAAUUUAUUAUUUUUUAAAUAUAAUAAAUUUUACGUGGCUCAAACUCAUUCUCUCGUAGAUAUUAUUGAACUACAGGCCUACAAGUUAAAAAGUUAAUACUUUUUUACUUAUUAUUUUAUUCAAUUUUUUUAUCACUUGAUUUAUUAUUCAACUUUAUUAUGAAGAUUGAUAAUAAAGUUGAGAAUAUUUUUUAUUUACGAUAUUUUAACCUUUUUAGAGUAUGAUUAUGUAAAACGAGCGGUCGGGGGUGUUAUCGGUAUUAUAAAAGAAAUAAAUAUCUAUUUAAAAAAAAAAAGCGGUGGGAGGUCACGUGGUUUAGAUACUGUUCUGUAAUGAUGAUAGUUAAUACUGGUCCGAUAAUGCAUUCUUGCCACGAGCCCCAGAGCAAAGUCAUCCUUCAAUUGAAGGACGAAAAUCGGGCGUUUGGGCUCUGGCUCAAAUACGUGGCAAGAUGCUGAGUGAUUGCUUGGCAAAACAACAAGUUGAUGACUUGGUUGUUUAUUGUGAUAUUAGAGGUGGCAAAACCGAUGACAAAGUGGUUUUCGUGCCAUGUAAAAUUUAGAGUGAUUUAGAUAUUUAUUUAAUAAUUAUGUUAAAAUAUUAAAAUAUUUAUUUAAUAAUUAUGUUAAAAUAUUAAAAUUUUAAGUUUGAUAUGAAAAAUAACAAUUGACACAACGUAACUUAUUAAUUAAUAAUUGUGUCGCGAGAUACCUUAUAAUCUAUUUAAUUAACACUCAUUUAACAUGAUUUAUAUCAAUCAUUUUUGCUCCUAUUUAAUAAAAAUUUUACAAUUUUUAUAUAUCUAAAUAGUAUUAUAUAUUGAUAUCAUAAAAAAUAUACAUAUUUAUUGAUAUAUUACAUAUUUACACCAUUCAGGUUUUAAAAGCAUCUAGAAUUUUAUGAAAUGGAACACCACAUAAAUGUUUAUCCUUCGUAAGUAAUUGUUUCGUUAACUGAGUAGAUAGGUCAAGAAUAUAGGAUAACGAUUCUCUCUUGAUCUGAUCUCCUCCUGAGAAAAAAUACAUGUAGGUGAUUGGUAGUUAAUAAAUUAAAAAAUUAAAAAAUUAAAUUCUACCCAUACACUAUUACUUAAAGACAAAUGGAACAAGAUUUUUAAAAGCUCAUGAGAGCUCAGAUCAGGAGAGGAUCUUUAUCCCAAGAAUAUAAACCUAACUCGAGAAGCCAAAAAAUUGUGUUAAAAAGGGUACGGCCUAUUUAAUUAUCGUGUCAAAUUUAAUAAUCUAAAUCUACUUUUUUGUGUUGUGUUCAUGUUUGCUAAAUGGAUUGUAUCAAAUUUUGUUAGUACUAUUUAUAGUAUAUUAGAUAUUUAAAUAAGAUUUGCUUCUAAAACGAGAAUUAUAAAGUUCAGGUGUCUAUUACAUAUGUGUCAUGUAAGGCACCGUCCGACGCAAUGUAGCUGGACCCGUCAUGUAAAUAUAUUAAUCUUUCUAGCAUAUCUCUCUUCUCCCCCCUCUUACUUGUAUAAAAAGAAUUAAUGUCGUUAAUACCAACAGGUGAAUACAAAUGUGCCAAAAAAAAUUUCUUUAUUUUUUCAUAGAGAUAUAAUUUCAUUCCAACAAUAACAUAAUAGUAUAACAACUAGUCCAUAACAGACUUGGAGAUCAAUCUAUAGAUAAUCUGAUAGAAUAAAUAGUUGAACAAACUUUUUACUUUCAUAGUUCACACUAACGAAUAAUGAGAACACAAUGCAUCAGAGACUCUAUUAAAGAGCAUCUCUUAAUCAUGCAUCCAACAUGCUCAAGCUCUAUCGGGAACAUCUCCAAUACCAUGUCUAGAUCAAGUAGUAUGUAUAGUUUCAGGUUUAUGUGCUUUUUUUUUUUUUUUUUCGAUUCCACCCUAUGUGGUGGUUGUGUUCAUUUGGUUGUGUUUCGUGUUGCUGAUGUGUUCAUCUUUCAGAUUUUGUACUUGAAUGGGUAAGAUUUGGCAAAUAGGUGACCAUGAAUCAUUUUCUAAUGUGGAUUUGUUACAUUGCUGGUUGUAUUUUGAACCUAAAUUAAAUCUAUUUAAUUAGUCUUCUGGGAGUAAAUUUAUGAUUUACCUAGCAAGAACAAAAAUUCCUUAGCGACAUCUAAAUUGAUCGUGUACAUAUUAAAAGGAUGUGUAUAAAUCAUUACAUGAUACUUUAGUAUGCUGAUAUUUUUCCUAGCACGUCAGUAUGAGAAAUCAAUUAUUUGUUUAUCUGUUGACUGCAAUGAAUUUAUCUGUACAUUAGUGACACACACACACACAUAUAUAUGUAAUCAUUUUCAGGUGUGGAUGCCUUCAUUUGUUUUAAUGCGAACACGGUUUUAAGCUAUGCGGUUUUAUAACGUUAUGCACUAACUUUAUUGAACUACGCCCGUACUAAAGAAGGAUUAUAUAUAUGUGUAAUAUAUAUACGUAUACAUAAAGUUCAUGCAAACUAAGGUUUUUAUUUAAGCAAUUCACAUUUUAACAAUAAAUGCUCUUCACUCUUGUUUGCUGGUGUAAUUGGAUGGAUGGUUUUGCUUCAAUAUUCUCUGUCUCGCUCUUUCGUUUAUAGUUUUUACCAACUAAUUGAGAGGAAACAAAAACUGUUUGCCGAACGGCCGAACAUGUCCACCGUAUAUAUACUGGGAUCUGUGUAAGUUACAUAAGUAUUAACAACUGAUCGUGUUUUUAAUUACUUUUGUUUAUUAAUAACUUGUAAUGAGAAAUCUAAUUGCACUGAUAAUUUGAGUAAAUUUCAUAUAUUUUCUUUACAUUUUAAAAGUGAAAAACUAAUUUAACACUAUUGGACCAAAAAUAUUAUGGGUCCAACUAAAAUUCAAAUAAAUAUUGUCUAAACAAAGCCGAAGAUGAGUUCUUAGGAUCCAAAGAGAACACAUAUUUAAAAUAUGUGAUUCUUCCUGUUUUUUCGUUUGGUCGAGCUUUCUCAUUGGAAAGUUAUGCUAUAUCUUGAAAGUAUUUGGCAAACCCAGCAGUACUUCAUUCUUGAAGCACACAAGCAGGGGUCCUGUACCACCAACGUAUGAUUUACUCGUGACUAGUCAAGGGAAUAGUACAUGAGUGAGUGCCUGAAUUAUGAGCCUUGCCUUACAGAUAGACAAAUUAUAAUCAUGAGUUUUGUUCCUCAGGGUUUUGAAAUCUCAUUACCAAGGGUACAAGUGAUCAAACUUUUAACCCGUCAAAACAUUAACGUAUAAGUAUUAUACGUUCGCUUUUCAAGCUCAUGCAAGUUCCAGUAAUUUGGCACUACAUCAAUGGGCAGACUGAAAUCAAGAGGUGAGUCUCCACUCACCAGACUCUCUUAAUAAUGUAUAACAAGCACCAUACUAAAAUUAGAUACCUUAUUAAAAUGAAACUCCCAAACAUGAUCACAAAGGUCUUCUUUUGUGAUAUGAGUCUACUAGAAUCAUUAAUUGAUCAAAAUUGUAUAAAGGUUGUAUAAAGGUUUAAAAAAAAGAAAUAUCUCAUUAAUUGAUCAAAAUUACUAAGUUCAUCUAUUAGUCAAAAUUAGAAUGAUAAAAAAUCAUUAAAUAAUAAAUAUUCUUAAUUUAUCUGUUAUUGUUUAUAGUAGUUGUAGUACAUAUAUUAAUUAAAAUUUAUUAUGACCGUAAUUUUCAAUAUUUCACAAAUCCCCCUCUCUGUUUCUUUUCUUUUAUUGUGCGUUUUGGUUAUUUUUUAGGGAGAUAGGCCCCCUGAUGCGACUUACAAUUACAGGUGACAUGUCUAAUCUUGCUCACAAUUAGUAGAGACUAGAGAGUCUACGGUCAAAAUUCUUUUUUUUUUUUUAAAAAAAAAGAGUAAUUUGAUUUUUCAGCCACUUUCCUUUUUUGUUAUCAACUAGUCAUAACUCACAAGCGUGACAAUCACUAAAUUCAGGGUGUGUUUGGAAUUGAUGUUGGACAGAUAUAACUUAAAAGUUAUAACAGUAAAGUAUUUGGUAAACACUAUCUGUUGUAACCUGAAAGUUAUGUUAAUAUGAUUUUUCACUUAUAUAAUAGAGAAUCUAUUAUAUCUUCAAUAAUUUUGUCAAAAUUAUUAUUUAAAAUUAAUAUUUAUUACAUAUUAUUAAUUUUUGUUUCAUAGUUACAACUUUUUUUUCACAGCAAUUGUAGCUUAAAAGUUACAACACCUCAAUUCCAAACACACCCCGAAAGUGACUUCCUCACAGCCGGCAACUAUCCACUUGCCAUUAGUUGAAUGCGGGAGUGGAAUCGUGUCUUUUGAAAGUUAAAAUAAAGUUAGAAGGAAACAAAUUGUCAAUGUGGGUUCUUAGAUCAAUUUUAGGACAACCACAUGAUUUUGUUGAUGGAAUAAAUGUCAUUAACGUGUUUAUUUUUUAGAUUUAGAAAAAAUAUCAUGUGUUUAUUUUGGGAUUUAAAAAAAAAAGAAGAAUGAGAAUUAUUAAUAAUAUUUACUUGCUAAAAAUACAAAGAAAUAUAAAUAAAUUUUAAGUGAGUCUCAUAAAUUUAGGAAUGAGUAAGAAUUUCAUUUAGAUGGAAGAGGCGGGAAUAAGAAUGGAGAAAUGAGAAUAAAGAGUAAAAAUCGUUCAUCUUUAUUGAAAAUUACAACUUUCUUUUUACUCCAUUUUGGUAACUUACAAUCAUCUAUUCUAAUUUUAAAAUAAAGUAAACACAUCAAGUUUGGAAUACUGUUGAUUUUGAUCUCGGUUCUUGCAGUUGAAAUAAACAAUUUAUUCUUCUACAUUUUGAUUCCAAUUCAUUUUUAUUCCAAUUCAUUUUUAUUCUUGCCUAUUAGGAUUCAUAGUUAAUAAAUGCACUACUAAUAUAUUGUCAAAGAGACUCUAUUUUUUAGUUUCAUUCUAAUUCAUCUCAAAUCUCUCUCAUAUUGAAUACUUUGUUGAAAUUUAUUAAAGAUAUUUAAAAAAAAAUUUAUCGACAACUCUAGCUGCCAUCUAUAUAAAUAUAUUAAUUUUUUUUCUAAUUAGUGCUUCUUAAAAAGAAUCUACCUCAGCCAACCCAAUCAAUUUUUUCUCCCUCAGCCUUCCAUAGGAUUUGAAUUCGGGUAAUUAAUAAAGUAAAAUUACUUAAAAAUCACUCGGCUAAGUCUUUGAGGUAGUUUAAUCUUAGAUAAAUAUUAAGGACUUAUCAAUUAUCCUAUUAAAAUUAGUAUGUAUAAGCAUAUGGCUAAGGCAAACCAAAUCAAGUACAGUUGACGUUAUAUGUGAUAGAUUAAAUGAUUUAUAGAAGUGAGUCAUCUGUGAUAUAUAUCAUACAACCUAAUUCAUUUGAAUUUGUGAAUAUUGAAUUUGAAAGCAUAUAUUUUGGUAGUCUAUUUUAGAGUAAUUAAUUUUAAUUAAAAAUAACUGUUAUAGUAUUAUCUCAAAACGUCACCUAAAUUGUAAUUUUAAUUGAUAAAAUCUCACGACUAAGGUUAAGAGAUUUAGAGAUUUUACCUAAAAGUAUAAUGGUAGGUAUUGGCGUUUGCCUUGCCCGCUUUAUCAUGGUCCAAAAAUCGCCUUUUGGGCCAUGGAGCGGCUCAUGUGCUUGCUUUGCACAAUCUCUAGGAAUCCAAACUUGAUUUUGUUUUUGGUUUACACAUAUUUCCAUGGAAUUCGGCAGAGAGCAGAUGAUUAGGCUAAUUCGGAGUUGGAAUUCCUUUCUGUUCAGUAGUGGGACCAAACAGGGAGGGAGAACGGGCUGAGCUUGGACAAGCCCAGGCUCAAGUCUGAGCUCAUAAAAGCCCUUCCAAAUUUGGAGGGGCUGAACAGAAGUUGGCCCAUCAUGUGUUUGAGCUUCCUCAACCAUUUCAUUUAGAGAGUGCCUAAGUUACAUCUAUUGUAACUUAUUGCUUUUGUCUUAUUUCCUUUUGGCUAAUAUCAUAUAGAUCCUUUAAUUUUUUUCUAUUUCCAAUUUUUAUAGUUAUGGAUGCAUUUGUCUUCUUCCAUCUCUCAUACAUCUAUUUUUUAUUCUUUCUAGGAUUUUAUUUAUUUCCUUGAACAAUAACAAAUGAUUGUCAAAUUCAUAUAAGUCUACAAAUUCAUAAUAGACAUCUGGUUCUAAAUUUAUUAUUCCUAUCCUUUCUUGUUCUAAUAAAUCUAUUUUUUGGUUUAUUAAAUUUAUAUAUGUAUUUACUAUGUUUUCCCAUCCUAAAAACAAAUGAUCUAUACUACUUGCCAAUUCUUGUAUUGUAUUAACAGCUUGAUUCAUAGCGUUUCUAUUUUAUACCAAUAUAUUAAAAAUUUUAUAAAUUCAUCUAUAAAUUUUAUUUUCUUUUCUAUUAAAAUUUCACCACCUACUGUAUCUAUAAAUCUUUCUCUAAACUCCUGGGUUAGUUCAAGUUCUAUAUUUCUUAUAUUAUUUUUAUCAGUUUUAAUUGCUUUUAUUAAAUUUUUUAUAUCUUCUUUAUCAUAUACCUUUAAUGUAUGCAAACUGUCUACUAUAGUUCUUAUAGGAUCCAUGGAGUCCGUGGCUCUGAUACCAUUUCGUCGUUAUUAAAAUUUAAAUCAAAUAAUCAAAAUUUCAAAAUUACUAAAUUUACAAAAUUACAAAAUUAAUUCGUGCGUUAUUAAAAUUACAAAAUUAACUUACUAAUGCGAAGAAUGAUUCAUAUGAAUAAAUAAACACAUAUGAUCAACAAAUUAUUGUUCAUUCAGAAACAUAGAGAACAUAUAUUUUUAUGUAACUUAAAUAUUAAUAAUAGAAAAGUGCGUGGCGUUGUUACACCCCUAGGUACAGCUAUUAAAAUAGCACUUUGGACCAAUAGCCCGCAACCCAAAGAGGUUUCCAGCCUAUAUACUUUUCAUAUUUCUUAAGUUAUAUUUCAAAUUCUUCAUUAUCUGAAUUAUAGGUAUAUGAAGGUCCAGCUUCAUAAUCUUUAUGUUUCAAAUAUGCUUUUGCUAUAUCAAUUCCUUCAUCUAUUGUUGGCAUAAUUAUAUUAUGUUUUAGAUUGUCUAUUUCAAUGUUUUCUAUAAUUUUCCGUUUUAUUUCUUGAGGUAAAUUAAGUGAGUGUACUGCUAAUAAGUCUUCUAUUCUAACGAGUUCCUAUUUACUGAACAGAUAUGAACUCUAUUUAUAUGAUCCUAUAUUAAAAUCUAUUAUCAUCAUGUACUCAUUGUAUGUUAUUUUAGUGGUUGGAUUUAUUAUGUAUUCUUUAGAUUCUCCUAAAUAAAACUUGUGAUCCAUGUUAUAAACAAAAAGUUUGUUUCAGUUUGAAAGUUUUUCAGUUUAAAAGUUUUGCUCUUACUCCAUAAAUUAUCCCACCAACAACCAUCAACAAACUUCCACCAAGAGAUAAAAGUCGAGUAUUAUUACCUGAUUUAUCCUUUCUCCUUUACCUUCUGAUCUCCUUCCAGUAACCUGCAGCCUGUUUGUCCUGUGCCCUUACAGCGUCCUGCCUCAGCGGGAUCUGUGGACUCAGAUGGAUUUACUGUAUGGAUUUCGAUCGUCUUGAUAAAGAAGUGUUGGAUAAGUUUAGGUUUCUCUUCUUUUUCUUUGAUGGUUUUUGUUUUUGGUUGAUGAUGUUUUGAUUUAGGAUUUCGAGCAAGCAAGUGUUUAGUGAUCCAUCGUUAAUAAUUUCAGAGAAAAAAUGAAGGAUGUCUGAAAACGUCUGAGUGAGAGUGUGUGUUUCUCCUCAUUCUUUUUAUUUAUAUGAAAGAGAUUCUAUUACAUUAUUGGUCUAUGACCUCAUUGCUUACGUAUCUAUUACAUUAUUGGUUUUCAGCUUACAUCAUUAUUUCAUAUUUUAUUAUUACAAUUCUUGACUUCUUGUCUUCUUCUUUUCUUUUAGCAUUUUAGUUGUCUGCCACGAGCAUCUUCUUUUUAUCUUGUCUGCUACGAGCAUCUUCUUUUUAUCUUGUCUGCCAUGAGCUGCUUUUAUUUGUCGAGCAUCUUUAUUUCCAUAAGCUGACAAGCUUGCUGUAUGGUUUCAUGGCUACUAGGGAAUCUCAUGGUGCUGAUUUCAUUGAUGAGAUCUAAAAGAAUAUUUGAAGGUGUAUGGCUAUCCUCUGAGGUUACAAGGAUAUAAUUCUGAAAUCGGAUAAUUGUUCUAUAGUUUCUUUUAUAAAGGUCUUUGGCAAUACUCCAUAUCGCCUUUAUUCCCCGGGCUCUGCGGGUUCUGAUCCAUGAUUUGGUUAUUUGAGGAAUAUUUGUAUAUUCAGUUCCUACUUCUAUUUGGAAAUUUUUUGUAAGGUGCCCCACAGAGAUCAUGUAAAACGCUUGAUAUUCAACAUUUUGGUGGUAUUUUGGGCUAAUAGUGUAAAAUUUUAGGUAUAUAGGCCUUUUUUGGGCAAAUUUUGAAACUUCUUUGACUAAUAAUUCAUCUAAACUGACUAUUUCUCUUAAAUCUGUAUCUGGAUAUACUAACCCAUACUGUGCUAUUCUUCCAAUGAGGAGAGGAUCUGCUCCUUUUAUAGCUAUCAUCCUGGGGUAUAUAUUUUUUUCAGGUGCCUUGAAAAUGGUAUUAUUGUGGGAACAUGUAGAGUACACCCAUGUGGAAAACUAUUUAUAUUCUUCUUCUUUUGGAUUUAGGGUAAUAAGUUUUUUUUCUUCUUCUGAGGAAGUGCUGUUUAUUCUGAUGAACUUUUUUGUAGAAGUCUUUUUAGGAGAUUCGACUUCAAUGGACAAGGUUCAGUUGAAGGAUGGGUCACAGACUGGUUCUUGUUGUGGGAGAGGUCCACUACUGCUUCCUAUUUUUAUUGGGUUAGUAUUUAUUGAAAGCCCUUUUGUUAAGUCGUUUAUGUAUGACUCUAACAAAUGUAUUCCCUUCUCAUGAGCCUCUGUGGCUUCUUUCAUGUAAUUUAUAGUAUCUAGCAUGUCUGAUGCUUCUGCUUUGAGCCUUUGUAUUUCUGUGUUUAUCACAGAUAUGGUUUUAUUUACUUCUGUAUUCAGUCUCCGAAUUCUAUGUUCCUGCUUCGAAAAUCUGCAAGAAAAUUAUUAGUUCCUUUUAAAAUUAUAAUAUGACAAAUACGCUUGCCAUCUAUGUAAUCUCUUGUAGUGAGGUUCAUUUGGCAAAAUUUUACUAAUAAGCCAAUUUACCUAAGAAUUGUCUGUUUCUAUAAUAAAUUAUUUCUAGAGUAAAAAUAAUGAGAACUUUUUUAUUCCUUUGUAUAUUGCAAGGAGUUCUUUUUCAUGACCUUGGUAAUUGACUUGUACUGGGUUAAAUGUUCCACUAGUAUAUCGGCAAAUUUCAUUUAUAUCAGUUUUAAGUACUGCUCCCCAAUGUAAAUCAGAUGCAUCAGUUUGUACUACUAACUUAUCAUUUUCUUCUGGUAACCUUAAUGAUGGGAGGUUUUUACAUUCUUCUUUUAGGCAGUGUUUACUUUCUGGAGUGGGAGUGUGGAGUGUGGAUUCCUCACACUCCAGUGUUUACUUACCUUAAAAAAGGGGGGAGUGGGAGUGGGAAUCCGUGGGUCCCACCCAAAUUUGGAGUGGGGAGUGGGAUUCCCACUCCCAUUGGGGGAGGUGGGAGUGGGAAUCCACUCCCCCCUCUUCCCAUUUUAUCCUUAUAAAAUUAAAAUAAAUAAAUAAUAUUUAAUAAAAUAAAUAAUAUUUCAUAAAAUAAAUAAUAUCAUAUUUAUUAAAAAUAAUAAUUAUAUCAUAUUUAUUUUAUUAAAUUUAAUAAAAUAAAAAUAAAUUUAUAAAUAUAAUAAAAUAUUUAUUUUAUUUUCCAAAUAUAUUUUUUAUUAAUUUUUUAAUUACAAAUUAUAAUUCUGUACAUAAGGAUAAAAUUGUAAUUUAAAACAAUUUACUCCUAAUCUAAGACAAAGUAAACAAAUAAUUGGGAUUCUAAUUGACAAUCCAUACUUUCAUUUAAUCUAAGUAAACACCAUACUCUCACUCCCACUCCACACUCCUAAUCCAAGGAUUCCCACUCCUCAGGAUUCUCACUCCAAUCCAAAAAGUAAACGCAGCAUUACAUUCUUUACAGUUUCCAUAUGUUCUUCACUCCAUCCUUUAGUAUUAUUUUUUCUGAGUAAUUUUUGAAGUAUAUUUCUCUUUUUUGCUAAGUCUUUUAUAAAUCCUUCUGCAUAAUUUAAACAACCUAAAAAUUUUUGUAUUUGUUGUUUAUUUUCCAAUUUAUCUGGGAAUUCUGUAAUCUUUUUUUCUAUAUGGCUCUAGAGUCUAAUUCCUUUUUUGUCAAGAACCAUUUCUAAAAAUUCUAUCUUCUUGUGUUCUACGACUGCUUUUCUUUCUGACAAAACUAUACCUUCUCUGAUACAUAUAUUAACAAAUUCUCUUAAAUGGUUUCUAUGGUCUUCUAAUGUUUCUGAUGCUAUUAAUAUGUCAUUAACAUAGACUAUGAUAUAUUUAUAAUCUCUAAAUAUUUUAUCCAUUCGACUUUGAAAGAUUUGAGGGGCAUUUUUUAGUCUAAAGGGCAUUACUAUCCAUUCAUAAUGUCCUUGUGGGGUGCUAAAGGCUGUAUAAGGAAUACUGUGUUCUUCCAUUUUUAUUUGCUAAAAUCCUGAUUUACAAUCAAAUUUUGAGUAGUAUGUUUUAUUUUUUACAAGAUUUAUUAAUACUUCUUUAUUUGGAAGAAAAUAUUCAUCAAACUUCGUAUAUUUAUUUAAUUCCUUAUAAUUUAUAACCAUUCUUGGUUUUCCUCUUACUUGUUUUGAUCUUUUCCUAACCAUAAAGGCUGGGCUAUUAUGAAGGCUAUUACUAGUUCUUAUUAGUUUUAAAUUUAAUAACUCUUUUAUUUGGAUCUUAAACUCUUCUCUAUCUUCUUCUGUAUACAUCAUAGAUUUAAGCCUUAUUAUUCUAUUUCAAUUAAUUCUAUUUUUGUUCUAGGAUGGUCUGGUUUCCAUAAUGCUAAUCAGUUAUCUUUAUAGACUUGUUCAAGCUGUGAUUUUAUUGUUUCUAGUUGUAUAUUAUAACUAUGUCCUUUCAAGAUUAAAUAAUUUUUUCAUAAAUAAUAUUAUCACCAUGCUGGGCUGGCUGAACUCGGUAGGGUUUAAAUUCACGAGGGAUGUGAAGGACAUGAUUACAAGGGGUUUUUAAGGUGAUCAUAUAAGGAGUUUGUUGAUAGUACUGGAAUUGUUGUAGGAAGGCAUUUCCUAGGAGGAUAUCACAAUCCAUAUGGUCAUAUUGAAAUAUUUAAUUAAUACGUACUAUUUUACUUCCUAAAUGUAUUUCAAAAUUUAUCAAAGAUUGAUUUACUUGUUGUUUAUCUCUUGUUAUUCUAAUGAUUUUUAACUUUCUAUUAGGUUUCCAUUGGUUUGAUAAAAAGGGUUUCAUAAUUAUUAUUUCACUACUAGUGUCUAUUAAGGCACAUGUAUCUAUAUCUUUUUCUGUUAUGUUUAUUUGUGUAUAAACGGACAUAGGGUAUUUUAUAUAAGCUUGUUUUAACAUGUUUCACACACUGUUCUUUGACCUUCUAUUUGUAAGGUUAUUUUAUGUUUUUCAAUUUUAUAGUAUUCUAAAUCAUUUAAAAAACUAUUUCCUAGCACUAUAUGUUUUUCUGGGUCUGUGGUCAUGAAUAAGUCUAUAUAACAAGAUACUAUUAUUCUAAAUCCUUCUGUAAUUAUAGGGACUUUAACUUCUUGUUUACAAAUAUGUUUAUUACCUUAAAAUCAGUGUAUUCAUAUGGAAUUUCUUUUUCUUUUAUUAAGAGUCCUUUUAUUUUUAGUGUGGUUCAUAUAAUUAUGGCUCGUUCCAGUGUCUACUAGUAUAUGUAUUUUUGUCGUAUAUUAUAUUCCAUUAAAGUAUUGUCCAAGUAUUUUUACUACAUUAUUAGUUGUUAUUGAUCUAGUUAUUUGUUUAUCCAUACUAGUUAUUUAUUUAUCAGUGCUUAAUCUUCUAGAUGAACUUCCUCUUACUAAAGUCCUUCCUGCAAAACUUAUAGGAAUGAUGGAGUUUUCAUUAUUAUCAUUUAAAAAUUACUUUCUAUCAUCUAUGUUCAGUUCAUAAUUUAUAGGAAUUUUGUAGUCUUGGAUUGUGGGUUCUAUAAGGGUUGCUAUCUCUUCACUUUCUUUAUUUAUUUCUAUAUAAGGUUUAUUUCCAUAUAUUUCUCCAUAGUUCGAAUUACAAAAACUAUAUAAUGCAGAAUAAUGUAUUGUCAUUAAUCUAUUUCCUUCUUUCAUUAAGUUCUUUUUUAGUAGUUUAAAGUGUAAGCUUAGCGUCUCAUCUAUAUUUUUAUCUUUUAUGUGUACACAAUAUCUAGGAUGACAUGUAAAUAAUAGUUUAGUGUAACAUAAAUUUCCUUCUAUUGUUCCUAAAUGUCCUAUACUGGGAUCAUGAAACCUUUUAUCAUGUAGUGAUAAGACUAUAGGACUAUCUAUUCCUUCUUUGAAAAAGGAUUUUACUAAUAUUUGAAUUUAUGCUAGAUAUACAUAUUGAAUUUUUUCUUUUGUUGAUUCAUUUUUUAUUUUUCUUAAUGCUAAAUCUAUAGAUCUUUUAUUUAUUAAACUAAAUCUAAUAUUUCUUUCAGCUUGUGUAAUUGUUACAGCCUUUUCUUGUUCAUAAUAUUCAUGUAAUAUUAUCCGUUUUCUUUUGAAUAUAUCUCUAAGUCUAUGUAAUAUCCCAUAUUUCGGUUUUUCCAUAUUUAUUUUCAAAAGUUUAUUAUAUUUUUCUUUAUUAAAAGUGGCAACAAGACUAUAUCCACUUUUAUUUUCUUCUUUUUCUAUUUCUUCAAUUUCUUCUAUCUCUUCUUUCUCUAUUAUUUCCUUUUUAUUCUGACUCAUAUUCUGAUCCUUUUUCCACAUAAACUUCUUUUCCUUCAUAAUCUAAUAUAUCACUUAUUUCUUCUAAGUCAUUUCUUAUGUUUUCAAAAUCUUCUCUUAAGAGUCUAACCUUCUUUUUUGUACAAUCUGUGCUAAUCUGUCAUAUUUCUCCACAAUUCCAACAUUUACACUUGGAUUUAUCUAAUUUGUUUCUUUGAUUUUUAUACUUUCUUUUAUAAUACUUUCUUUUAUAAUACUUUCUUUCUGGUUUCUUGUAUUUUCUUUUAAAGUUAUUGUAUUUUUUAUAUUUUUUCUCUUUUUUAUAUAACUUUCUCUUUCGUUUAUAAGGUGUAUAACAACCCCAUUGGGUUGGCAUUUCUGUCUUUUCACAACAUAUUUCUCCUAUAUUUUUACUCUUUUUCAUUAGAUUUCUUUGAAUGCAUAUUUCACUUAAUCUUAUAUUUAAAAAUCUUAUUCUAGAUCCUAAAGUAUCUGGAAGUUUAUUAGUAACACUAUAUUUCUUAUAUUUAUUAAUAAAUAUCCAUUCAAGGGAUAUGGUAACUUGGAAUAAUAUAAAUUUUUAUAGAUACUUUGGUCUUCUUGACUGUAGAAUUGUUCAUAAUAAUAUUUAUUAAAUUCACAAGUAUAUUCUUUUACAAAACACAUGUUACAAAUAGUUAAAUUCAUUAAUUUCAUUCUUGCAUUUAAUUUUUCAUUUCUUGUUUCUAUUUCAGUAUUUUGUAUCCAAUCUUCACCUAAAAAUUCACUAGCGAUAUAUUCAAUUAAUCUUUCAAUUCCUAACCCUUUAUCUCUAGCUAAAGCUGUUUUAGUUGAAUCUUUUAUCAAUUUUUGUGUAUCUCCGCUUAGUCCUUUCCACCAGUUGAAUACAUUUCCUGAAAAACUGGCUAUUAGGAUGUCAGCGAAUAAAUUUAUCUUUUCUGCUUCAGAUUCUACAUUCGAAUCAUCCUUAGAACCAUUGUAUAUAAAAAAUAACUUCAUUUGCAUUCCCUAUUCAAUUAUAGCUUUUCGAGGUUCUAUUUUGCAAUCUAAAUCUAAAAAUGUUCCUGCAUUGCUUAUUGGCGUUAAUUUAUCAUUAUUAGGCUUAUAUUCUUUUUUCCAAGGGGUAUUUUUAACGGGUGGUACAUAUUUAAAAAAGGGUCUAUUUUUCUUUUUGUUCGUUGUAUACCUAUGACUUGGUUCUCUUAUAUUAGGCUUCAUUUCUGGUCCUCCAGCAGUAUUCAUUUUUAUGUGAUAUUCUUUUUCAAAAUCUUCUAAGUCACUAAGGUUUAUCUCACUAAAAUUUUCAGUUAAUUCUUCUAAUGUAUCUUCCAUUAGUCUGAAUCACUUGGAGUUGUUUCUUUUAUCUCUAAUUUUUCUUUUCCUUUUUCUUUUUUCUUUAAUUCUGCCUUUAAUUCUUCUGUUUCUUUUAAUAUUUUUGGAUAUUGAGUUUCCAUAAACCAAGUAUCAUAGUUGCCUGUUUGUGGUUUUUGUAUGGGUUUCUUAAAACUUGUUCCAAUUAUUCCUGAUUUUAGUAUUUCAAAUUUUUCUAAUUUUUUAUUUUUCUUUUGACUCAUCUGAAUUAUAGACAUUUCUAUUUUUAUUUUUCCUAUUUCUUGUUUUAUAUCUUUUAUUUCUUCUUUGAGAUUUAAAAGUAUUUCUUUUAAUUCUAUUAAUGUAGUUUCCAUAAAGUCUAAGGGUGUCUAUAGAUAUUUUAAUUUCUUGAUUGUAUGUUACGUUACACGUAACUUAGUUUUGGCCUUUCAUUUAUUAGUUUUUAAUGUUUGCAAUAAUUCCUUCAAAUUAACGUCCCCCCUUUUGGUCUUUUUCCGUCUUAACUCAACUCAUUUGGUGAUGUGUCAUUAGCUCUAUUGAAUGGUAAAAUUUUAUUUACUUAUAUAAGUCCUUAUGUUCUUAUCCUAUUAGUAUAACCUUUGAGUCUCAAUUAUUAUUGGACUCAAUUUGCCUUCCAAUUAAACUGGAUAAGAGUAAAUUUUGAAAUACAAGUGUGCAACCCAAGAGGAGGGGGGGAGUGAAUUGGGAUUUUAAAAAUUAUUUGAUUCUAAAACAAAUUAUCAUGCAAAUCUAAAAUGAAUUUAAUGGAAUAAAAAUUAAAUCAAUUAUAAUAUAAAAAGAUAAGGGAAGAGAGAUUCAAACACGAAGAUUUUUAUGUGGUUCAGCCAACAUCACCUACGUCUACGCCUCCAAGUUUUCCGGGCUUGAGGAUUUCACUAAGCAAACCUCAAAGGCUUCAAAUGCUUACACUUGACUUCCAAGGUGUCAAUGAACCUUUACAACAAGAGAUUAUCUCCAAUUUCUUAACUUAAGUGUAUUCCAACACUUACAAUCACUCAAAGUAAAAGAUUAAAAAUUAUUUUUCUCUCACACAAUAUUUAAUAUUACAAAUCAAUGCCCAAUGUGUGAAUAAAUGAAGCAAGAAUGUGUUUUAAAGCUCUAUGAAGAUUGUAUUCUCGAAUAUAAGCUCAAUGGUCGUGUUGUGAUCAAUCUUGUUUGAAUUUGAAUGAGCUUAUUUAUAGUUGGAGCUGAAAAACUAGCCGUUAUAGACUGUCUGCUCGUAAACGGUUGCCUUCUCAGCAUUUUGUGUUUUUCGUUUCUGUUAACCAGUUAGAGCUUAAGCAAUUCGUUACUCUCUUGAUUUAAUCGGUUAGCCGUUAAAAAUAAACGGUUCACCGUUUAUUUACAGAAUCAUAGUUUUAGCCAGAUAUUGCAGAGAAUCAUUUUUUAAUUUCAACUUUAACAAUUACCCAACUUUUAUAAAUAUAAUUGAAAUGAUUAUAAGGCUUUCGUUUAUUAAUGAAUAGGUCCAACAUUUUAAUAAAAAAUAUUUAAAGUUUGUUAUCGUCAAAAUCAAUAUUAUUAACAUAUACAUGUUAACAUUCUCCCUCUUUUUAAUGAUGACAAAUUUCAUUCAAUAUUUUGCUCUCCCUUAAUAUAUGCUCCCCCUAAAUGUAUGGCCAAUUGUAAAAAAAUAUCCAAUAAACAGAUUUUUGCUCAAGGAAACGUUUUGAAAAAGAAUUCAUUUCAAAAAGCGUUUUAAAAGUAAAAUGCAUUUUAAAAGUGAAUUUUAUUUUUAUUUCAUUAUCUCCCCCUUUAUCAAUAUACACAAAAUGCAGGAGCAUAACAUGAUCUCUCCACCUUCAUCAUCAAAAAGAAAAGAGGGAAAAGAAAUCUGUAAAGUAUAGAGGUGAGAAAGAAGUUACCCAACUUUGGCGAGCAAAAAAAAAUUGGCAGAGUUUCCCCUUAAAAUGGAACAAAUCCACUAAUACAAAAUGAGAUUAAAAACACUUCCAAAUAUAUUAACAAUAACUUCAUCAUCCAAUAGACCAACAAAUCCAUCAUCUAAUAUCAAAUCAGCCAACAUCAAAUCAUCCAACAUCAAGAACAUCACAAAAACAAUCCAUCAUCAAAAUCAUAGAGAAGUAGCAAUGUAUACCCAAAUAUAAAUAGCAACAAACAAACAAACAAAACAUGAAAUGUAUGUGCAAAGAUGAGACUCAGAAACUAUGAAGGUGGUGAAGAUGUGCUCCCUGGAUCAUAACCGAAAUAACGAAGAAGAGUGCGCUGUCCAGCUAUAAGUUCAAGCUGCUGAUCAAUGCUCUGCUGCUGGAAGGUCUGAAACUCCGAACGAAGCUGCUGAUGGUCGUGGGAGAAGGUGUCCCAUCUAUCGAUAAUCAGCUGCUGCCUCUCCGAAAUCCGGCGAACAUCAUCCGCCAACUGUUGCAAGGAGGCCGAAGCAGGGGGCUGAACUGAAGCAGGAGGCUACUCGGGAGCUGGAAAUGGCUCAAAAACGGAGGGCCUCUUAGGAACAACAGAGGGCUCGGGAGCAGAAGGCUGUGCUGGAGCUGGAGCUUGAGGUGGCAUCGAAGUGGAUGGAAUAUCAGCAUCCAUCUCACGCUCCUCAGAGUCAGAGUCAGCUAGAGGUUGGAGGACAGAACGGCGACGUAGAGGAGGUGGAUGAGCUCCUAAUCGAAAAUCUGGAAGUUGAUAAGAAGGAUAGAUAUCGUUGAGCAUCCGAUCGUCCUCAGGAGCAAUCAAAGUAUCCCGAUUUUUGGAGUUUUUAGUCUUUAUCCACUUGCCAUUCUUCUAGAAAAAUCGAUACUAGUCAUGUCCUCUGGACCAAUCCGUCUAGUCUCCGUAUAACCGGCAUCUAGAAGAGGCACCUCAAAGCGUCGCAGUAUCUUAGUAAUGAUACUGCCAUAUGGAAGCAAGCGGUGGUUAAUCGCGGGAGUACUCAACAUGUGCCUCACAAUAACAUAGCCGAGGUUAACGAGUCGUCCUGAAAUGAGGCUAUCUAAUAAGCCAACGUCUAACCUCGUAACCUUAUUCGAGUGACCCUUCCUAGGUGUCACUAUAUGCUGUAAAAUUGUGUAAAGUAUGCGAACUUGCAGAGGUAAAAGUUGAGAUUUAAAAGGUAAGUGACAAGUCUCAUAACUCAGAUCUUCACGCUGACAAAUAUUACGAACUCCAUCAUUAUGACAAAAACCAUCAAAGGAAAGAGCUUUCUUAGAUGUACAAAUUUUAUGACCAUCACUAGAUAUACCUAGAAAGCCAUUAAGAUCUUCAUCAUCAAAUUCAAUAUGAACACCGCCAACUUGAGUAACUAUCCUAUCUAGGCGAGUUGCAGAGAUUUCUAUGUUCGAAUAGAAAACUCGCACUUAAUUUGGAUAUACUCGUUCAUCAAAAUCAAUGGCGGACUCCCAAGGUUGAAGUAUAUUUCUAACACUUUUACCACACACAAUUAAGGUUCUAAAGUCUUCUAUGUCAACAUAAAACGAAUCAAGUACCUUUCUGCCAUUGAAGCGGUCCUCGAAACGCUUGGCCAAUGAAGGUGUGGGAAAAUAAAUUCUUGCGAAUUCAGAGACUGCCUGUGGUGGUAUGGGAUUCUGUUGAGGCGUAUCUUUCCUCCUUCGAGUUCUCCGAGAUGACUCAGCCAUGGUAAAGAACAUAGAGAAUGAGGGAUUUUGAGAACAGUGACUUUGGACGAAAAAUAACUGCUGUACCGUACAUCCGCCUUGGCCGUACAGCAGAAUUGAAAUGAUUAUAAGGCUUUCGUUUAUUAAAAGAUUUGAAUCGGUAAAAAUGAUAUAAAGAUGAUGUGAAAAGAUGUUUUAGGUGUGAUUUGGCAAGGAAAUCAAGAAAAAUGGAGGUUUGACGAUAGAGAAAGCUUCGGCUGCGCAACAAUGGCUGAAACAAUAAGAGGGCAAAUGAGAAGAGAGAGGAAACCCUUGGAACAGUUUUUAUGUCGCAAGAAAAUGGUUAACCGUUUAUUUAAACAGUUAGAGAGUAACUUUCCAGAGACUAAUGAAUGGGAAACGGUGAAAGGUUAUCCUUUUAACGGUAAAGGAGUAAUUUUCCAGAGAGCUCUCUGCUUUAAACGGUUUAUCGAUUUCGUCAAACAGUAAAAGGGUAAAAGUCAGACAUCAUGAUCUAGUUUCUGGAAUAAAAAUAGUACACCGUUUAUUGGAAACAGUUAUCCGUUUAUUUCAUCUAUAAUUGCGCACAUUUGAUUUAAUUUUUGGCUUACAAAUAAUACAUUCCAAGAUCAUUUAAUUGAUCCAAAAAUGUUUUAUGAGCCAUUUUGAUUCAUGAACAUGUAUUCAAGCAAUUAAUUCAUAUAAACAUUUAAGAAUUAUCAAAAGCAAACAUAUCACUUGAACAUCAUGCUUAAGCAUUUCAUAAAUAUUAAAUGAUCAAAUUAUCACUAAGUCAAUCAAUUCAAUACACUAAAUAACAUUAAUAGAGAAGUUAAUGCAAAAAUUUCAUCUUCCCAAGUUCAUGCCGAAUUUUCAAAAAUUAUUCUUCGCCAAGGGGUUUGGUAAAAAUAUCGACGAGUUAUUUUUCUGUAAAAAUAAAAUCUAAUGCAAUAUCUCCCUUUUGAACAGGAUCUCUUAAGAAAUGAUGUCUUAUUUCUAUAUGCUUGGUUCGAGAGUGUUAAAUGGGAUUUUUUGAAAGAUUUAUAGUACUAGUAUUAUCACACUUAGUAGGAAUUUGUUCUAGGUUAAUACCAUAGUCUCUAAGUGUUUGUUUCAUCCAAAGAGCUUGCGCACAACAACUUCCUGCAGCUAUAUAUUCAGCAUCGGUAGUUGAAAGUGCAACAUAAUUUUGUUUCUUGCUAAACCAUGAAACAAGUGAGUGACCUAGAAUAUAGCAAGUUCCACUAGUGCUUUUCCUAUCAACUUUAUAACCGGCAAAGUCCGCAUCUGAAUAGCAUAUUAAAUCUAUAUGAGUUCCCCUAGGAUACCAAAGGCCGAGAUCUAUAAUUCCACUUAAAUAGCGAAGGAUUCGUUUUACAGCAAGUAAAUGGGAUUCCUUGGGGCAUGAUUGAAAUCUUGCACACAAACAUACACUAAAUAUGAUAUCGGGUCUACUUGCAGUUAAAUAAAGUAAAGAUCUGAUCAUACCUCGAUACAUUUUGAUAUCCACUUCUUUGCCUUUUUCAUCUUUAUCAAGCUUGGUUGUUGUGCUCAUCAGAGUAUUUUUGGUCUUUGAGUCAUCAAUUCUGAAUCUUUUGAGUAGAUCUUUUACAUACUUGGCUUGAUUUAUGAAAAUUCAUUCCUCAUUUUGUUUUAUUUGCAGCCCAAGGAAGUAUUUCAACUCUCCCAUCAUACUUAUUUCAAAUUCAUUACUCAUGCAAGAUGAAAAUUCUUUACACAACAAUUCAUUAGUAUAACCAAAAAUAAUAUCAUCAACAUAAAUUUGAACAACAAAUAUGUCUUUGUUCUUAUGUUUGACAAAGGGAGUAGUAUCCACUUUACCCAUUAAAAAAUUAUUUUCUAACAAGAAAUUCUUAAGCCUAUCAUACCAUGCUCUAGGUGCUUGUUUUAAGCCAUACAAAUCUUUAAAUAACUUAUAAACAUGAUUUAGAAAUUUUUCAUUUUCAAAACCAAGGGAUUGUUUUACAUACACUUCUUUCAUAAUAUAACCAUUUAAGAAAGUACUUUUCGCAUCCAUUUGAAAUAAAAUGAAAUCUUUAUGACAUGCAAAUGCCAAUAACAUUUUAAUUGAUUCUAGUUUAACUACGAGUGCAAAUGUUUCAUCAAAAUCAAUUCUUUCUUCUUGGUUGUAACCUUGAGUCACUAAUCUAGCUUUAUUCCUUACAACCACACCAGAUUCAUCCAUCUUAUUUCUAAAUACCCAUUUAGUACCUAUGACGGAUUGAUGUUCCGGUUUAGGAACUAAUUCCUAUACAUUAUUUUUUUCAAAUUGAUUUAAUUCCUCUUGCAUUGCCAUAAUCCAAGAUUGAUCAUUUUCCGCAUCCGCAAAUGAUUUGGGUUCAAUUUGAGAAAUAAAUGCAUUAUGCUCACAAGUAUUCUUAAUUGAUGAUCUAGUUGUAACACCUCGUGAGGGAUCUCCUAAAAUUACAUCUUUAGAGCGAGAAGAAACAUACCUCCACUAUUUGGGGAGUGAUUAAGAAGUACCUUCAUUUUGCUCUACAUUCAUUUCUUCAUGUUGCUCAUCUUGAUUCCUAUGAGAUGCAUUCUUUUGGUUAUCUUUUGAUGAUUCUUUUUGUAAGUCUUCAUCUACAUCAUUAUCAACAACAACUUUCUCCGUAGAGGAAGGGUUAGAUUCAUCAAAUGUAACAUGCAUCGAUUCUUCUACAACUAGAGUUCUUUUGUUAUAAACUCUAUAAGUUUUGCUUGAGUUUGAAUAUCCAAGAAAAAUACCCACAUCGGAUUUUAGAUCAAAUUUGCCAAGAUUAUCUUUUGUGUUCAAAAUAAAACAUUUGCAUCCAAAAGCUUUGAAAUAACCACUAUUGGGUUUUCUAUUUUUUCAAAGCUCAUAUGGCGUUUUGUUAAGGUUAGGUUUAAUCAACACACGAUUUAAAACAUAACAAGCAGUGUUAACGGCCUUGGCCCAAAAAUACUUAGGCAAUGAAUUUUCAUUCAAUAUAGUCCUAGCCAUUUCUUGAAUAGAUCUAUUCUUUCUCUCAACAACUCCAUUUUGUUGUGGAGUUCUAGGUGAUGAAAAUUGAUGCUCAAUACCAAAAUCAUUACAAAAAAUCUCAAAUGCAUGAUUUUUAAACUCUCCUCAAUGAUCACUCCUAAUGCAUGCAAUACCAUACCAUUUUGAAUUUUGAAUUUUGAAUUUUCUUACAAAGCACUUUAAAGGCAUCAAUAGCAUCAUCCUUAUUAGCUAAGAAUAAUACCCAUGUAUAUCUAGAAUAAUCAUCCACUAUCACAAAUGCAUAAGAUUUGCUAUUUAGACUAGCAUAUCUAGAGGGCCCAAAUAAAUCUAUGUGAAGAAGUUGAAGUGGUUUUGAGUAGAAAUAUGAUUUUUAUUUUUGAAAGAUGUUUUGAUUUGUUUUCCAAAUUGACAAGCUUCACAAAUCUUCGCUUUUUGAAAACCAAUUUUUGGAAGACCUUUAACUAAAUCAUUUUUCGAAAUUUUUGAAAUCAAAUCCAUAUUUGCAUGUCCUAACCUUCUAUUCCAUAACCAACUAUCAUCAUGCAAUGCCGAAAAGCAUUUAUCAAGAGUAGAUGCACAUUCUAUGUCAAUGAUAUAAACAUUACCAUAUCUAUUCCCAAUAAAUAAGAUCUUGUCAUCACAUAAAUUCUCAAUAACACAACUAAAUUUAUCAAAGAUAACUUUAUAACCUUCGUCACAUAAUUGACUAAUACUAAUUAAGUUGUGUUUCAAGUUCUCAACCAAACAUACAUUCUCAAUUAGAGUUGAGGAAACUUUACCAACAUUUCCAAUUCGAAGACUUUUUCCUUUUGAGUUGUCUCUAAAAGAUACGUCUCUAUCAUUUUUAAUUUUGGUGAAGCUUGAGAACCAUGCAUAGUUUCUGGUCAUGUGCCUUGAACAACCACUGUCCAAGUACCAUUUAUUUUUCUUCUUCUUCAAGCCCUACAAGGAAAAUCUCAAGUUUUAGGUAUCCAAAGCUUUUUGGGUCCUUGAGAGUUAGUAGUGAUUCCUUUUGGAACCCAAAUGCAUUUCAUACUAUAACAUACAUUUCUUUUUACUGGACAUCUAUUUUUUAUAUGACCAUCUUAAUUACAAAAAUGACAUACAAUUUGUUUGUUACUAGAUAUACUCUUCACAAAGUAGUUUUUAUAAUAUUUUUGUUUCAAGUUUGGCUUAUAACCAAUACCUCCUUUGUCAAACACACAUUUUUGUGAAUUAAGCAUGUUAUCCAACAUCUUUUGCCCAUUUGUAAAUUUCAAAACAAUCUCAUUCAACUCAUUGCUAUUUUUCUUAAGCAUUUCAUUUUCAUUUUUCAAAUCAUCUAUGUGUGAUUCUAAAUGCUGAUGCUAGGUUUCUCAUUUGAUAAAUGCAAUUUCAUCAUGCAAUGUUUUGUUCUCUACUUCUAGGCAUAUAAUUCUUGCAUUUAGAGAUUCAUUUUCAUUUUUAAGCUUUGUCAUUUCCUUUUUAAGACAUACAUUCUUUUUACCAAUUUUCAUCAACUCAUUAUGCAAUUCUUUAAAAGCAUCAUACAAUUCAUCAUAGGUGGGAUCACUUACCUCAUUGAGAUCAUCACCAUCUCCUAUUGCCAUAAGCACUAGGUUUGAUAUUUCUUGUGACCCUUCUUCAUCACUUGAAUCUUCCUCGCUAUCAUCCCAAGUUGCAACCAUGGCUUUCUUCUUAAGUUUGUUGAUAAGUGGGCACUCCGAUCUUAUAUGGCUAGGCUUCUUGCAUUCAUUGCAUGUGAUUACCUCUUUCUUCUCCCUUUGGUUCUUGAAGUUUCUGAAUUUUCUUUGCUCUCCGGUUUUCUUGAAGAAUUUUCUGAACCUCCUUGCUAGCAUGGCCAACUCUUUAUCAUCCGGUUCACUCUCCCCAUCACUCUCAUAUUUUGAAGCUUUGAGAGCAAUGCUUUUCUUCUUCUCCUCAUGCCCUUUUUCUGUUGCCAAAUCUUCUUUAUAUGAAAUUAGAGAACCAAUUAAAUCAUCAAGAGGUAAAGUAUUUAAAUCUUUGGCCUCUUCAAUAGCAGUUCUUUUAGGUCUCCAUUCUUUUAGAAGUGACCUAAUAAUUUUCUUAACUUUCUCACUAUUUGAGAAGGUCUUCCCCAAGGCACCUAGAGUGUUCACUAUGUCCGUGAAUCUAGUAUACAUAGAAUACACAUUUGUUAUCCAACAUCUUUUGCCCAUUUGUAAAUUUCAAAACAAUCUCAUUCAACUCAUUGCUAUUUUUCUUAAGCAUUUCAUUUUCAUUUUUCAAAUCAUCUAUGUGUGAUUCUAAAUGCUGAUGCUAGGUUUCUCAUUUGAUAAAUGCAAUUUCAUCAUGCAAUGUUUUGUUCUCUACUUCUAGGCAUAUAAUUCUUGCAUUUAGAGAUUCAUUUUCAUUUUUAAGCUUUGUCAUUUCCUUUUUAAGACAUACAUUCUUUUUACCAAUUUUCAUCAACUCAUUAUGCAAUUCUUUAAAAGCAUCAUACAAUUCAUCAUAGGUGGGAUCACUUACCUCAUUGAGAUCAUCACCAUCUCCUAUUGCCAUAAGCACUAGGUUUGAUAUUUCUUGUGACCCUUCUUCAUCACUUGAAUCUUCCUCGCUAUCAUCCCAAGUUGCAACCAUGGCUUUCUUCUUAAGUUUGUUGAUAAGUGGGCACUCCGAUCUUAUAUGGCUAGGCUUCUUGCAUUCAUUGCAUGUGAUUACCUCUUUCUUCUCCCUUUGGUUCUUGAAGUUUCUGAAUUUUCUUUGCUCUCCGGUUUUCUUGAAGAAUUUUCUGAACCUCCUUGCUAGCAUGGCCAACUCUUUAUCAUCCGGUUCACUCUCCCCAUCACUCUCAUAUUUUGAAGCUUUGAGAGCAAUGCUUUUCUUCUUCUCCUCAUGCCCUUUUUCUGUUGCCAAAUCUUCUUUAUAUGAAAUUAGAGAACCAAUUAAAUCAUCAAGAGGUAAAGUAUUUAAAUCUUUGGCCUCUUCAAUAGCAGUUCUUUUAGGUCUCCAUUCUUUUAGAAGUGACCUAAUGAUUUUUUUUAACUUUCUCGUUAUUUGAAAAGGUCUUUCCUAGGGCUCCUAGGGUGUUUACUAUGUCCGUAAAUCUCGUAUACAUAGAGUACACACUCUCAUUUUAUUCCAUUUGGAACAACUGAUAUUGUCGAGUGUACCUACUAAUUUUCGACUUUUUCACUUGAUUUGUGCCUUCAUAGACUACUUCAAGUUUGUGCCAAAUUUCAUUGGCACUUUAACAACUAGAUACUCGAUGAAAUUCUUUCUUAUCAAGUGCACAAAAUAAAGCAUUCAUAGCUUUGGAAUUUAGAGAAGCUUUUCUCUUUUCCAAUUCAUUCCAUUCUCUUGAAGGUUUUGGAAUAUCUUUCCCUACUUCAUUUUUAGCUAGGGGCAAAAACGAACCAUCACAUACAACUUCCCAAAUUUCAUAAUCUAGUGCUUGUAAAUAAAUUCUUAUCCUAGUUUUUCAAUAUGGGUAGUCAUUUCAGUCAAAGAACGGUAGUCUAGUUGUGGACUGUCUUUCCCUAAAGGUUGAGUCAUUUUGGGUUGCCAUGGAUAUUUUACUCUAGAUGGUUAAGUCCUAACAAGAGAACCAAGCUCCGAUACCAAAUAAAAUAUAAGUGUGUAACCCAAGAGAGGGGGUGAAUUGGGAUUCUAAAAAUUAUUUGAUUCUAUAACAAAUUAUCAUGCAAAUCUAAAAUGAAUUUAAUGGAAUAACAAUUAAAUCAAUUACAGUAUAAAAAGAUAAAGGAAGAGAGAUUUAAACACGAAGAUUUUUACGUGGAUCGGCCAACCUCACCUACGUCUACGCCUUCAAGCUUUCCGGACUUGAGGAUUUCACUAAGCAAACCUCCAAGGCUUCAAAUGCUUACACUUGACUUUCAAGGUGUCAAUGAACCUUUACAAUAAGAGAUUAUCCCCAAUCUCUUAACCCAAGUGUAUCCCGACACUUACAAUCACUCAAACUAAAAGAUUAAAAAUAAUUUUUCUCUCACACAAUAUUUAAGAUUACAAAUCAAUGCCCAAUGUGUGAAUAAAUGAAGUAAGAAUGUGUUUUAAAGCUCUAUGAAGAUUGUAUUCUCGAAUAUAAGCUCAAUGGUCGUGUUGUGAUCAACCUUGUUUGAAUUUAAAUGAGCUUAUUUAUAGUUGGAGCUGAAAAACUAGCCGUUAUAGACUGUCUGCUCGCAAACAGUUCGCUGUUAACCAUUAACGGUUAACCGUUUAGGCUGGUCAAAGUUACCGUUGGGCCAAUUUUCUAAUAAACGGUUUGCUGUUUAGGAUUAUCCUUUCGCCGUUAAAUUCCAGAGACCUGCAAGAUAAACUUCACUAAAAGAUUAAAAAUAAUUUUUCUCUCACACAAUAUUUAAGAUUACAAAUCAAUGCCCAAUGUGUGAAUAAAUGAAGUAAGAAUGUGUUUUAAAGCUCUAUGAAGAUUGUAUUCUCGAAUAUAAGCUCAAUGGUCGUGUUGUGAUCAACCUUGUUUGAAUUUAAAUGAGCUUAUUUAUAGUUGGAGCUGAAAAACUAGCCGUUAUAGACUGUCUGCUCGCAAACAGUUCGCUGUUAACCAUUAACGGUUAACCGUUUAGGCUGGUCAAAGUUACCGUUGGGCCAAUUUUCUAAUAAACGGUUUGCUGUUUAGGAUUAUCCUUUCGCCGUUAAAUUCCAGAGACCUGCAAGAUAAACUUCAGCUAUCCGUUUGCAUUAAAAGGUUAAAGAUUUGCCCGAAAUAACCUCUCUAGAAUUUAUCGGUUAACCGUUUGUAAUAAACGGUUCGCCGUUUGUUUCCAGUAACCUAUAGAACAAGUUAGCCUUAUCCGUUUCAGUUAAACUUUUACCGUUUGUUUUCAGUAACAAGAUGAACACAGUUUUCCAUUCUGGAUUUUAAUCAGUUAACCGUUUCAAUAAACAGUUCACAGUUUAAUUCCAGUUGGCUUCUCAGCAUUUUGUGUUUUCCGUUUUUGUUAACCGGUUAGAGCUUAAGCAAUUCGUUACUCUCUGGAUUUAAUCAGUUAACCGUUAAAAAUAAACGGUUCACCGUUUAUUUCCAGAAUCAUAGUUUUAGCCAGAUAUUACAGAGAAUCAUUUUCCAAUUUCAAGUUUAACAGUUAUCCAACUUUUAUAAAUAUAAUUGAAAUGAUUAUAAGGCUUUCGUUUAUUCAUGAAUAGCUCCAACACUUUAAUCAAAAACAUUUAAAGUUUGUUAUCAUCAAAAUCAAUAUUAUGAACAUAUACAUGUUAACAAAUUUCUUCUCCAUUAAUAUGAGUAGAGCAAAUAUCACUAUGAUAUUAUGUGAGGGUAGAUAUUCAGACUGUGCCAUAUUAGAUGUAUUAAAAAUAAUUCCGAUAAAUUUUUUAUUGUAAAUAUUAAUAAAAUUCUGAUGGCAAUAUAUUAACCUAUUUAAAACUUAUUAAAAAAGCCAAAAUAUAAAUAUAUACCACCCUUAAACACGCAUCAUGAAUUUUCUUUACUCAUGUCUAAUUGAUGAUUUAUCAUGACGCACUAUACAAAUAGAUAAAUUUUUUCAAUUUUUUUUUGAAAAAGCAAUCAAGAUUUUAUUCCAUCAACAUAAGAAAGUACAAACAACUUGAAAUAUUAAAUUUGAUUUUGAUUUCCUCUCACCAAUUCAAUCUAAUUAUUGACAACAAAAUAGACCGGUCUGGAUAUCAAAUUUGAUGUUCAUUAAAGCAUCAGUGAUUAAUGUACAAUUAAAAUAAUGAUUGAUUAUUAGCAAAGAUUGAGUAAAUUAAUUAACGUUUAUGUUAAAUGAAAACCAAUCAUUUUAUUGAUAAACAAAGAUGGUGACUUACUACAAUCCCAUAAUCCAAAUCACAAGCAAGAAAUCCAAAUCACAAGCAAGAAAAAGCUCAAGCCAAUUAAACAAGUGAUAAUAGCAAGGCCUAAAGAAGGUACUAACAUUGCAUACGUUCCCGUAACGAAUGCAAUCACCAUUGCUCCCAUGGCAAAUACGGUGAACCAAAUGGAAGCGUGGAGCAGACCCUGAUUGAAAUCUUUAGUUUUUUCAAUUUUAGGAGCCAUCAAGAAGUGAGUAAAGACGGCAGAAAGAGAAAAGACCAUGGCAAUGGAAUCUGCUACUAUAAAUGCUUGAAAAGCUUUAUUUCUCCUUAGGAUUGCAGUUCCAUUUUCGCUUCUGUAACCGCCAGGAAUGGUGAAAGCUGCUUCGAAGGAUACCGUUGCUAUGAGUGCAGCCACUACCAAAUGUGAUGCUCUCGUAUCCUUGUAAUCUUCUUUAGUAACAUACUUUCGUACUUUUCUUAUGCGUAUAACACCUUUUGAAUAUUGUCCUCUGCCAACAUCUUUGGAUAAUUUUUGGAUUUCUUCCUGUAAUUAAUUUACAUUUGAAUAUUAAUUAAUUGCGUAAAAAAAUAAAAUUUAAUAAUUUAGUUGAAGGAACAAAUUAAAUAAUUACCUUGAGCUCAGUAUAGCCAUAAUUAAAAACGUGUCUGACACUAACAUUUUGUUUGUUGACAGCGUCAUAGUUGGCUUGAGUACUCCUAUUCAUAACAUCAUGGAAUUCUUUUGGUCGGACUGCAGCAAGCACAUGGAGAGGAGUGUUUCCCUCGGCAUCCCCCUCAUCUAUAAGACUCCUCGCUAACGGAUUAUUUUCAAGAAGAUUUCUUAGUUGUCCAACAUGAAAACUAACCAUAGCAUAAUGGAGAAAAUUACAUCCCCUGUUAUCGACCAGCUCGUAACAUUUUGGAUUUCCAGAAAUAAUUCGCUCAACCGUUCGGGCAUCCCCUUUGCCCGCUGCCAAAUGAAGAGCUGUCAUCUUUCGAUCUUUGUCAGCAAUGUUCGAAGCGGAUUGAUCAGUUUCUAAUAACAAAUUUAUCGUCCUGUAAUUUCCAUGAUAUGCAACGUAAUGAAUUGGAGUCCACCCAUAUUGAUCUGUUUCUUUGAUCAGAUUCUUCUUUUUCUCAAGUAAUUUCGGUAAUGCAGUAUCAACUGAGAAUACAGAAGAUAAAUCAAAUAAUAAUGAAAUUUUUAAUAAAAGUAAAUAUUCAGAAAGGGCAUAAAUUUGGGGGGCUAUUUAUGUUGGAGAUAUGAGGAAAAAAAUAGAUUUUUUUUUUUUUUUUUUAAUUCCAAACCAGCCAGAGGUCUAGAACAACACCAACACCAAUCACACAAUGAGUGAUGAAUAAUGGCUUCAGAUCGGUAACUUUGUUAUUUAGCAAAAUAAAAACUUGCAAUCAUUUCCCUGAGUUUGCAUCUAGAAAUCACAAUUUUUGCAAAAUUCACUAAGACACGUUUGAAGCACUAUUCUAAAGACCAAUUUGGUAAAUCUAAUUAUCCUAAAAACCAACUUUCCCUAUCUUAGUUAUCCAAAAGACCAAUUUUCACUAUAUUUACAGUUCUAAAGAUUAAUUUUUUAGGAGCAUUUCACAGUAAAAAAAUUAAUUCCUUCAUAACAGCACUUAAUUUCUUCAUAAAUUAAGAGUAUUUUUGUCAGUAAUAAAAAAAUUAAUUCUCCUAAGAAUAUUUAGUCAUUAACUGGAUUAAGUGAAUUAAGUAAAUUAAGUGGGAGAGAGAACGUGGCGAUCGGCUCAGAGGAGAGAGGAAACAGGUCGGGUCAACCCGUUCACGAAACCUGAAUCGGUGCUUCCGAUUCUGGCCACAUCUCCGGCGAUGGAGGGUAUCAACCGAACUCCCAGACGACGCGGUCAUUCCCCUAUCAUCAUUGUUGCUGGAAAACAGCCUAUGACCAGUCCACAAGCCCGUGUUAAGUCAUGGAGGACGAAAACUCAAAUCGGCGAGUUUUUACCUGAUUUCGAUCAUGUCGUCACCUGGGAUUUGUCGUUUAUGGCAGUCACUUCAAUUUCUGACCAUCAAACAGUGGCCGAUUUGUCGCCGAUCAGCCGUUGAAGUUUCACGGCUGUCGAAACUCGAUCGGGCACCAUGGCUACGCGUCGGAGCACACCGCUGCCACCUUUGGAUUCAGAGCGAGCUGAAGUUCCUGUUUUGACUUAUUUGAUCAUCGCCGCUCGAAUUCCGGUCAUCAUUGACCAGCGAGGGCAUUUUGGUAAUUUAGAAUUUUCAAGGGUAAUUUGGUAAUUUAAAAUUUUGGGAUAUUUUAUUAACUCAUGAAUGAGGAUAUGAUGAUAUCUCAUGAGCGUUUUAUUAUUGGUUUUAGACCGAUGGUGUAAUACACUUUUGUUACUUAAUCACGAUAAAAAAUAUGUAUCUAUUUUACGUGUUUCAAAAGUUUAUUUUGAUAUGUACGGGGUAUGGAUUUAUAUGGUCUGUCCAUGUAUUUAUGCAAUGUGUUGUUAUGUGUCAAAUAUGAUUUAUACACAUAUAUAUGUAUGUGUAAAAAUUUAUUGGCAUUAACAUGAAUAUGCAUUAUGUUUUUCGGAAAAUAAGAAAGUGGAUUCGAGCAAAUUGAUUUUGAAGAAAGAAAGAAAGUUUUUCGAUUUUGCUUAGUUUCUUGAAUUCUUUACUCGCUUAGUGGACACUGUAGAUAUAAUAUUUAAGAGAUAAGUGGGUGAAGGAAGUUUACAUGAAAACCAAAGUUAUAAAUGUUAAGUGAGAGUCUUAUUGAAUAGUAAUUGAAUGAAGGUAAUUGAAGUAAGUGAUUUAAAAGGAAAUGUGAAGUUUGAUCAUGGCAAAAGAAAUUUUAAAGAAUUUGUUUUAUAAUAUUUUUAAAAGACUGGCAUGUUAUCCAUUUGCAUUAUAUAUAAACAAGUAUGUAUUUUCAUAUAUGAAAAAUAAAUUUGCUUAUUGAGAUCAUUAUAAUUUAUUGUGAUUUUCAGAAAUUAUGAUUGAUUCAUGAUGAGUGAGGAGAAAAACCGGAAUUGAGAAUAGUAGUUAAAUAAUUCUCUUUGAGGGUAUAAUUAGAUUUAGUUAAUAAUUCACUAAAUUUAAUAAUUCGCUAAUUUAAUAACUCACUAAAUCUAAUAAUUCACUGAAAGGGUAUCAUUAAACUUACCGGCAAAAGAUCUCAUUGCUGCAGCAUGUAAAGCCGUCUUUCCGUUGGGGCCUUCAUGAGAUACUGAUGUGCUGUUUUCUAACAGGGCAAGCACCAUAUCAAAGGACGCUGAUGUGCGGUUUUCCAAAAGGCCACGCAACAUAUCAGAACGGUUCUCAUACUCAGCAGCCAUGUAGAGUGGCGUUUUGCCGUAAUUAUUUGCAGAAUAUGGAUAACCAGGGUCUUCUCUUGUCAGUAUUUUCACCACGUCCACGUUGCCUUGAGACACUGCCUCGUGGAGUGCUGUAUUCUUCUCGUUAUUCACCAUCCUAAUCAUUUGCCUGAAAGGUUCAACCCCGCUCUCUGGCUCUUCAUCUCCACGUUGAGCUAAUUUUGCUCUUUCAAUAAGAACUCUCACUAUCUCAAAAUGGCCGAAUUUUGCUGCAAGGUGAAGUGGAGUAUCGCCUUUGGCAUUAACUUGUAGUAGCAGUGCUGGGCAUUUCUCAAGUAUUUCUUCUACGAACUUCGUUGACACAUUUUCUCUUUCUGAUGAUAUGAUGUUGAUAUGCAGGAUUGUGUUUUUGGCCUUUGCUGUUAACAAUCUCUCAAUUACAUCUCUUUCCAUGUCUUUGAACGGUUCUGAAUUGCCCGCAGAUGCAGCUUUGAAAAAAUUUAGGUCCAUUUGCUGCUUAAUUUCACCAUUGCUGUCCAAUAAUGGAGCUUCCUCAAUCUCAAUGGAAACAGGAUUCAUGUUGGCGAAGUUGAUCUAUUAGAUAACGGUACCCAGUAUCUCGGAGGUACUCAUAGAUCUUCUUCUAACCUGACAUGUAUGUAUAUAUGACUUGAAAAGUGUAGUAUUUUUCACACUUCUUAAAUUCUUGCUUUUUUGACAAGGUAAGUAUCGACAUUAAUUCUUACUCUUUUGACAAACCAAGAAUUAACAUUUUUAACCUUGAUUUCUUCCUCAUGCUCUUUUAGUUAAAUAAAUAAAUAAAUUGAGAUUAGUCAUUCUCGUUGGCAAACUAAUCAAUUUCUCAAUUGUGUGCUUGUAUGUGUAAUUAAUAAUUAAUUAAACUGUGGCGCAAUAUUUUUAAGAACCCAGACAAAAAUAUAUAUAUACCAAUUAAUUAUUAAAGUUGACCAUGGUUUCUUCUAUUGUUUUGUCCUUAACAUUGCAAAAGUCUGCAUAGCCAUAUCCUCAAUCUUUAAAUACUGCAGCCUUCCUUAUCACAUUUCGAUCGGAUUCCAUAUACAGUUCUGCUCUUUUUGUUUGUUGGGUAAAGAAAGUGACUCUCAAAUGACUGCAAACAAUAAAAUAAUAGGGGAAUACUCUAUGAGUACUUCAUUAAUUCUACAAAAGAAAAGUGAUUCAAUGUUGCCUCUUAGCCUUCUUGUUACUUAUUAAAUCACUUCUUAAAAUGAUACUACAUGGAAUGUGUCAUUCAUGUAUUAAUUAUCGACAUUUAUAUGUUUUAUUUGACAGAAAAAUAUCUAAGAGUAUGGUUGGUGCAUUGUAUUACGGGAUAUUAAAAUACUAUUUACAUUAAAUUAAUGAUAAGACUAUGUUUGAAAAAACGAGAAUGGGUUAAAGGGCUGUGCAUUAGCUUACUUUUUUUUUUUGUUGCUUUUGCUUUUGCUUUUGCUUUUGACUUUUCUUUUAACUUUUGCUUUUACUUUAUAAUAAUAAUAAUAAUAAUAAUAAUAAUAAUAACUACUUUUUAAUUUAAUACAAUAUCAUCUAAUUUUUAUUUUUAUUUUUAUUUUUACAUUAUAAUUAUUAAUAUAAAUUAAUAAAUAUAUAAUUUAUUAUAACUAAUAAUAAAUAUGAAUAAUAUUAAUUUAAAAUUAAUAAUAAUAUAAAAUAUUAAAACAAUUUAAAUAUAUUAAUAUAAUAUAAAAUAUUAGUAUAAUGUAAUAUUUAAUUUAAAUUAAUCACAAAACAAAUCGAUACAGUGCAGUAUGACACCAAACAUUGUACAACAUUAAUCAAUACAGUACAGUAUAACACCAAAUAUUAUACAAUAUUUUUAUAAUACGGUACUAAUACAAUACAACAUAAUACAAUACAUUAGUAUUAAAAUAAUAAAAUACAACAUAAUACAAUAUAAUGUACUAAACGCACCCUAAGUGAUUUAUUAAUUAAUUAACUAUUAUUUAUGUAUAUGGAGAUUCUUUACCUUUUUUUUAAUCAAUUAACUAUUAUUUAUGUAUAUGGAGAUUCUUUACCUUAGUUUAACAUAUGUCGUUAUUCUUCCACGAACCUUUAAUUGAUUUACACGAGUAUCACAAUGGUUCCACUGGAACAAUCUUAUUAUGCAGUUCCCAUUCGACAACUUCAAAGUGUUACAAUUGUUUAGUUUAUACAAAAUGUAUUUACACACUCAGUCUCAAGUCCACUAAGGCCGCGAGUUCAAAGUUACAUCUCUUCCUAUACCCUUGAAAGGUUCAGUAUUUUAACAUUGAAAUCAUGGUCCAUUUGUUAGAAAUAUGAGUCAAUAUAGUUUCAUUAAAAGCCUAAAUCAGCCAGAACAGCUGUACACAAUGGCGUUGAACAAUCACUUGAAUACAGUAACUUUAUUAUCUAAAUGCUACACUUUUAUGUGGAGGAGAAUAGAGUUUUUGUGCAUCUAUCUGUUGACUUUUUGCACACGACAUGUUUUUUAGUUAACGUUUGUUUACUCUUUUAAUUGGCAAGAGAAAUGUUAAAUCAAUCAUGGGGUGACAGACCGCUGAGAAAAACAAAGGCAAAACGAUGAAGUUUUUUCAAUGGGGAAAAAAUUACUAACUCAAUCCCUAGGGUCGAGUAUUAACUAGCUCCACUCGCCCGACAACGGACAAAAUACAACCCUUGAAAAUUGGAACUCCAGGAUAAACAAAAGGAAAAGAGCCUUCGGAGAAGCCUAAGAAAUCACUGACAGUAUUUUUUCGAGAAGCAGCUGCCUUGACCUGAAAAAAAAUGUUAAAUCUUCUUUUUCUCUAAGUUAAUUUUUUGGGAAAAAGACAAACACACCCCCAACGUUUAGACAAAGGGACAAAAACUCCCUUGACGUUUUGAAAAAGAUAUUUACACCCUCAUUUACUGACAGAAACAAUAACUUUUAAUGGAAAUAGUAAUUUUAAUAUAUAAUUACCGUUAUACCCUUCUAACACAUAAAAAAAUAAUUGUUAAUUGUCCAAUUUAUCCAUAUAUUAUUAAUAAAAUUAUAAAUAUACCCCCAUUGCCCAAUUCCUCUAUUUAAAUUUUUAUCAAAUUCUCUCUUUAAACCAAAUAAAUUUAAUCCAUUACUCAAGAAUAAAAAUAAAUAAAAUUAGUUAUUAAUGCCAUAAGAAUAACAAUUCUCUAGGCCAUCCUAGGUUGAAAUCAUAAUCUGAUAAUUUGGGAUAAAAUUUAUACUAAUAAACAUUUUUUUUUUUAAUUAGCUAGUGACAAGUUGAAAUUUUUUUUUAUUUUAAUUUUAAGUUGGUGUAUACUAAAGAAAUCUUAAAACAAAAAAAUGAAAUAUUAUCAAUAUGGCUUUAGCCUAAGAAUAUUUAAAAAAUUCUACUAUCCUCGAUUCCCAUCCAAGAAAACGAAGAAUCCACGGAAUGCAUUUAACAAUGAAAUUUUUAUAUUUAAUUUCUUCCAAAAUUGCAAAUUUAUUCAUUACUAACUCUCUUUUUUAAUUAAGAUUUGCUUAAAUUCAUAUAAAUUUCAAGACAUAAAGAUUGCCUUUAAGGAGGCUAACCAAAAAAAAAAAAAAGCGGUAAGUAAGAAACCGUUUAUGAAUAAUAUCUUUAUUUUAUGAAAAAAAAAACAAUUUUCUUUUUAGAAAGACCAGCUCAGCCUGAACAACAACACCCAUCAAAAACCUCAACGGUGAUGAACAAUAGCUUGACAAUAGAAUUCUUUGUUAUUUAAAAAAAAAAGUUACAAUCAUAACCUUGUGGCUGCAGCCGGAAAACCAAAUAGUUGCUUCCUACAACGAAGAAUUUGUUAUCGGACCAACAAAUACGAACUCAGAGAAAAAUCCUCAAGGCGGGUGCAAAGCAUUGUCCUAAAGGGUAAUUUUCACUAUACUACAACAUCGGACGCUGUCAUAUCUUUGUAAUCAUAUUUAGGAUCGUCAAGAUAAUCUUUUGACCAGGCAGGGUUAGAUUAUGAAUUUAUCGUAUUUAUCUGUGUGAACAUAACAAAAAAAAAAAAACAAUUCAAAAGACAUUGCAACAUCAAGAAACUUGCUCAAAAGAAAGUUGGUAAAAAGACAAAUUACUAUUUUAAUAUUGAAUUUUAAAGGGUCCAAACCAGAAUAACUUAACUAUAAAUAUAUUUAAGUUAUUUUAAUAAAGAUUGAUUUAAGGACACGAAAGAAAAAGAUUUAAAAAUAAAAAUACCAUAAAAUUUAAGGGAUAUUGAAUUAUUUUUUGGGCUAACCCGGUCGAGCCACUACUCCACGUGCCAUUGCAUUUGGAUCUGGUCUUAGCAAUUUAGCACUGUCGUCAUGAAUAUAGCACCAUCUUGAUAUUGUCCUCCGCCAACAUCUUUGGAAAAUUCUUCCUCCUGUAAAUUGAGUGUGAAUAUGAAUUAAUUGCAUAAACUAAAAAAAAAAAUAAUAAUAAAGUAAUGAAAAAGAAAGCUGGAUUUAUAAGUUGAAAGAAUUAACAAAUUAAUUACCUUGAGCUCAGGAUAGGAUAGCCAUAUUUCAAAAUGUGUCUAACACUAACAUUUUGCCUAUUGACAGUGUGAUAGUUAGUUCGAGUCUUCCUAAUCAUAUAGAGUUCUCCUUGGCAUCCCCCUCAUUUAUAAGACUCCUCGCUAACGGAUAUUUUAGUUGAGUUUUUAAAUCAUUAAAAAAAAAAUGACUAUUCCAUAAUGAAAAAAGUUCCAUCCCCUGUUAUCGACCAGUUCAUAACAUUCUGGUGUAAGGGAAAGAAUUCUUUCAACUGUUCUGGCAUGCCCUCGGCCCUUUGCCGAAUGAAGAGAUGAAGUUUUUUCAAUGGGGAAAAAAUUACUAACUCAAUCCCUAGGGUCGAGUAUUAACUAGCUCCACUCGCCCGACAACGGACAAAAUACAACCCUUGAAAAUUGGAACUCCAGGAUAAACAAAAGGAAAAGAGCCUUCGGAGAAGCCUAAGAAAUCACUGACAGUAUUUUUUCGAGAAGCAGCUGCCUUGACCUGAAAAAAAAUGUUAAAUCUUCUUUUUCUCUAAGUUAAUUUUUUGGGAAAAAGACAAACACACCCCCAACGUUUAGACAAAGGGACAAAAACUCCCUUGACGUUUUGAAAAAGAUAUUUACACCCUCAUUUACUGACAGAAACAAUAACUUUUAAUGGAAAUAGUAAUUUUAAUAUAUAAUUACCGUUAUACCCUUCUAACACAUAAAAAAAUAAUUGUUAAUUGUCCAAUUUAUCCAUAUAUUAUUAAUAAAAUUAUAAAUAUACCCCCAUUGCCCAAUUCCUCUAUUUAAAUUUUUAUCAAAUUCUCUCUUUAAACCAAAUAAAUUUAAUCCAUUACUCAAGAAUAAAAAUAAAUAAAAUUAGUUAUUAAUGCCAUAAGAAUAACAAUUCUCUAAUCUUAUCUUAAUUGUAUUAAAUAACAUAUCCUAUAGACAUAAAAAUUGAUAAAAUAAAUAAAAUUAGUUAUUAAUGCCAUAAGAAUAACAAUUCUCUACAUGUCAAUCAUUUAAACUUGUAUAAUCAACAAAAUAAAAAAAAAGGCUGGUUACAACAAUAAUUACAAAAAUCUUAUCUUAAUUGUAUUAAGUAACAUAUCCAAUAGACAUAAAAAUUGAUAAUAGAUUAAAUUUAUUUUGCUUGAAGAGAUAAUUUGAUAAAAAUUUAAAGAGAGGAAUUAGGUAAUGAAGGUAUAUUUGUAAUUUUAUUAAUAAUAUAUAAACAAAUUGGACAAUUAAUAAUUUUUUUUAUGUGCUAGAAGGGUAUAAUGGUAAUUAUAUAUUAAAAUUACUAUUUCUAUUAAAAGUAACUAUUUCCGUUAGUGAAUGAGGGUGUAAAUAUCUUUUACGAAAUGUUGGGGAAUUUUUAUCCUUUUACCUAAACAUUGAGGGUGUGUUAGUCAUUUUCUCUAAUUUUUUUAAUGUAUCAACUGAUACAAAAAAAAUAAGUCUCACAAUUAUGAAGCGUAUUCAUAUUAAUAAAUAUACAGAAAGGCACAAAUUUGUUGGGCCAUUUACGUUGGAAAUUUGAGACAAAAUAACUUUUUUGAAAGACCAGCUCAGCCUGAACAACAACACCCAUCAAAAGCCUCAACGGUGAUGAACAAUAGCUUGACAACAAUAUUCUUUCUCAUUUAAAAAAAAAAGUUACAAUCAUAACCUUGUGGCUGCAGCUUAGAUCUCGAUUUAUCAGAAUCACUCUCUAUGUUAAUGACACAUGAGGGAAUGUUAGAACAACAAGCUUUAGCUGAACUAUGGAUGCAAAUCUGGCGUUUGCUGCAAAUUUUGUUCAGUAAGGGAACAAUAAUAAGAAAGGUUUUGGAACAUACAACUCAAGAUCUGGUUUCAAUCAAGAUGCAUCAAGAUCUGAAAAUUCUGGAUACAUGAUGCAAGGAAAUUUUAGAGGGAAUCAAGGUGGAAAUUUCUAUCGAGGAAGGAAAGGUGGAAGAGGAAAUAACAUGCAUGGAGGAAGAUCUUGGAAUCAAGGUGAGAGAACUCAAAUGCCUGGUCAUGUGCCUGGUCAUUUUUCACAGCCAUAUCAACCUAGAUGCCAAGUGUGCUUCAUCAUAGGACACACUGCUGCUACCUGCAAGGAUAGGUUCAACAAGGAUUUCAUUCCAGUCAUAAGGUAUCCACAUCAGAAUCAAGUUUUCAAUCAAGGCUACGGUCAAAGAAAUAUGUCAGCUUAUAUGGCAACACCAGAAGCAGUAAUGGAUGAUGACUAGUACCUGGAUAGUGGAGCAACUCACCACCUAAUCAAUGAUCUCAAUAAUCUCAGCAUCAGUGAGCCUUAUGAAGGUAAUGAAAAGCUUUUAAUUGGUAAUGGACAUGGCCUUACUAUUUCUCAUAUAGGAAGCACUCAUUUAGCAGUUGGAAAUCAUAGAUUAUUGCUCAAAAAUCUUUUAUUUGUGCCACACAUCACCAAAAAUCUUUUAAGCAUUUCUAAGCUCACUUCUGAUAAUUCCUUGAUCAUUGAAUUUUAUGGAAAUACUUGCUUUCUCAAGGACAAGAAGAAGAGGACAGUAUUGCUGGAGGGUGUAGCUAUGAAGGGUCUGUAUAAGCUGAAACUUGAGCCUGGAAGUAAAACUCAUCAAGCUUUAUUUUCAACUGUAAAUAAAGAGUCAUGUUUUGUUCCUAUGUCUAUGGUGCCACAUUGCUCAGAUGGUUUGCAGUCUUGUUCUUUUUCAAAUAUUCAAGCUAAAGUUGUUCAACACUCCUCUCAACAGUGUCUGUUGUCUCAUUCCAGUAGAGUUUCCAGUACUUCAAUAAAUAUCCUACAUAGGCAACUUGGUCAUCCUAGUUCAAAAGUCUUGAAACAUGUACUCACCAGUUGUAAACAUUUGCAGUUAAGCAAUAAAAUUCAAAUUCCUGAUUUUUGUGAUGCCUGCCAAUAUGGCAAAGUUCAUAAACUGCAUUUUGGAGCAACUGAACACAAAACAACCUCACCUCUAGAACUCAUCCAUACUGACUUAUGGGGUCCAGCACCCAUUACUUCUCUCAAUGGUUAUAGAUACUAUAUCAGUUUCAUUGAUGAUUAUAGUAGAUAUGCCUGGGUUUAUCCUUUGAAAACCAAGUCUCAAGCUUUAUCUGUUUUUGCCAUUUUUCGAACUCAAGUUGAAAAACAAUUUGAAACAGUCAUUAAGGUCCUACAGUCAGAUUGGGGGGGGGGGGGGAAUAGUCAGAUUGGGGGGGGGGGUGAAUUCAGAUCCUUUGUGAAUUAUCUUAAAAAACAUGGCAUUUUAUUCAGACAUUCAUGUCCUCACACACAUCACCAGAAUGGGACAGCAGAGAGGAAACAUAGACAUCUUGUUGAGAUGGGUUUGACUCUUCUUGUACAAGCUAAAUUGCCUCUCAGUUUCUGGUGGGAAGCAUUCUCAACUUCUGCUUUUCUCAUCAAUCGAUUGGCAACUUCUGUUCUACCAUCAAAUAAAUCUCCCUAUGAGAUUCUUUUCAAACACAAGCAUGACUAUGAUUUUCUAAAGUGUUUUGGCUGUUCCUGUUUUCCAUACUUGAGAUUCUAUAACAAACACAAAUUCAACUAUCACACUACAAAAUGUUUGUUUAUUGGUUAUAGCUCAUAUCACAAAGGGUAUAAAUGCCUAAGCUCAAAAGGUGUUGUAUAUGUUGUUAGGCAUGUUGUGUUUAAUGAGUCAGAAUUUCCUUUCUCUACUGACUCUCUUUUCUCUAAACAACCUUCUUCCUCUGCUUCUGAAUAUAGAUAUCCUAUGUUUAAGGUAUCUUCAGUGUCAGUUCCACUUCAUGACCCUUCAGGCUCAAGUAACACCAUUAUACAACCAUUUCAGUUGCCUGCAGCUUCAGCUUCUUCCUCCUCAUCUAGUUCUUUAUCACCUUCUUCUCAACCAUUUCAACCAUCUCAAUCAAAUCAUCCACCCUCCCACACCUCUCCUUAUGUAUCCCAAAACACUUCAAAUCAACAACCAUCCUCUACUCAAGUUUCACUGCCAAAUCACCCAAUGAUUACAAGAGCCAAAGCAGGUGUAUUUAAGCCAAAAUUUCAUGCCUAUUCCUCUGUUCUUGGAGAACAAGAGCCUUCCACAGUUUCUCAAGCUCUUUCAGAUUCCAAAUGGAAAGCAGCCAUGCAGGCAGAGUAUAAUGCACUUAUGGAAAAUAAGACUUGGAUUCUUGUACCAGCUUCUCAAGCUACUAAAAUUGUUGGGUGUAAAUGGGUUUUUCGCAUUAAGUAUAAUGCAGAUGGUUCUGUUUCUAAGUAUAAAGCACGGCUGGUGGCAAAAGGGUUUCAUCAAACACCUGAUAUUGACUACUUUGAGACCUUUAGUCCAGUAGUUAAAUAGUCAACUGUGAGAAUUAUCCUUAGUCUUGCUGUGAUGAAGGGCUGGAAAAUAAGACAAAUCGACAUCAACAAUGCUUUCCUUAAUGGAGAGCUCAAUGAAGAUGUCUACAUGUUUCAACCUGAGGGUUUUGUUCAGUCUCCAUCUGGUCAUGUUUGUCAGUUGCAUAAGGCUCUUUACGGUUUGAAACAGGCUCCUAGAGCCUGGUUUGACAGGCUAAGGAAAGCACUGUUGCAGUGGGGGUUUCAGAACUCCAAAGCAGACUCAUCUUUGUUCAUCAAACAUGAACUUGGAGGUAUUGUGGCUGUGUUAGUAUAUGUAGAUGAUAUAUUAAUUACUGGUGAUAACAAUACAGUAAUUGAAACAUUUAUCCAAUACCUUGGAGAUACCUUUGCUUUAAAAGAUCUUGGUGAGUUCAGUUACUUCCUUGGUAUUGAGGUUACACAUGAUGCAAAGGGUAGCUUACAUCUUUCACAGGCAAAAUAUGUAAGAGAUUUGCUUACAAGAACUGAUAUGGAAAAUUGUAGAGAAAGUGAUACUCCAAUGAGUACAGGACAGAAACUAAGAAGAGCAGGGAAUGAUGAUAACUUGAUUUUUAAUGUCACUGAGUAUAGAAGCAUAAUAGGUGCUUUACAGUAUUUGGUACUUACAAGACCAGAACUUGCCUUUUCAGUUAAUAAGUUGAGCCAAUUUCUUGCUGCACCAACUGAGAAACACUGGGUUGCUUGUAAGAAAAUUCUAAGAUACUUAAAGGCAACUGAAGAUUAUGGAUUGAUGUUUAAAGCAGGAGAUGGAAUUAGUCUGACAGCAUAUACAGAUGCAGAUUGGGCGUGUGAUGUGGAUGACAGAAAGUCAGUUGGAGCAUAUUGUGUAUAUCUUGGGCAGAAUCUGGUUUCAUGGUCCUCCAAGAAGCAACAAACUGUAGCAAGGUCUAGCAUAGAGUCAGAGUAUAGAGCAUUGUCAACAGCUUGUGCAGAAAUUGUUUGGAUUCAAGCUUUACUUGGAGAGCUUAAACUGAAGUGUAGCCAAAUACCAAUAAUCUGGUGUGACAACAAUGGUGUAGCUGCACUAGCAACAAAUCCAGUAUAUCAUGCCAAAACCAAGCACAUAGAGUUGGAUGUGCAUUUCAUAAGGGAAAAGGUAACGGGCAAACAAGUGGAGAUCAAGUAUGUACCAAGUGAGUGGAAUAUUGCAGAUGUGCUUACAAAGCCUAUGGCUUACUCUUUUUUUAAUUACUAUAGAGACAAGCUUAAUGUUGUUCCACAACCAUUAAGCUUGAGAAGGGGUGUUGAGAUGCUUAAUCAACAGCAGCAUAUCAAUGGCUGAGAUUCACUUGACUAGGAUUGAUGAGCUGGAUAGCUGAGUUGGACAAAUUAGUUAGAUUGUUAUUGUUUAGCUUAGCUUAACCAAUAGUUAUUUGACAGCUGUUACAGAGGUUGUUACUUCUGUUAAUCAGCAAUAUAAGUUGAUGAAAGCUUGAAUGUAAGUGUGUGAUUCGAGAUUAAUAAAAUUCUCUUAUUCAGUUUGUUUUUCUUUCUUCCUUCGUCACUUUCCUGCUAGCCAAACAGAUUGUAUGCUUAAGGUUUGUGAAUUCUAACUGCUAUAUUAAAAUGGCCGAAUUUUGCCGCAACGUGAAGUGGAGUAUCACCUUUGCCAUUAACUUGUGUUUGUAGUGAUGGGCAUAUCUCAAGUAUUUCCCCUACGAACUUGAUUGACGCAUUUUCUGUUCAUUGGCAUAUGAUGUUGCUAUGCAGGAUCGUGUUCCUGGCCGGUACUGUUAAUAAGCUCUCAAAUAUUUCUCUUGCCAUAUCUUUGUAGGAUUCAGCAUUGCCAUCAGCUGGAAACUCAAGUAAAUUAUCCGUACUCAGUUACUCUUCAAAGUAGAAGCAUGACCGAUUAAGUUACCUGGAGAACUGAAAAUAAAAAAUAAAAAAAGGUAGAUAUUCUUUCCGGUUAGGUUUCAAAUAAAGCAGAGAAAAUAAUUGAAGUUAAGUUAAAAAAAAAANNNNNNNNNNNNNGAGAAUACUCAGACGAAUUCAAGUUGGUCAAGAAAGCCAAGUCGAGUAGUAAAUUGAGUCAAACAAUAAGUCGAGUAUUCAUAUAAUGCUCCUGGUGGACAAGAAAUCCUGUAAGCUGGAUUUAGAUCCAGUACUGAGCUUAGCUGUGCUCAUCUCUUCGUAAACAUCUACCACACAUGCAUGGAUAACAAUUUAAGAUGAAUAUUUAAUUAAUUUUAUAUUCUUAUCUUUCUAAAAGAUUAACAAAAACCUCAGCUCAGCGCUGAAUACAAAUUCCUGUAAACUAGGAACAUAAAACUCGAUGAUCACAUGAAAAGCUUAAAUUCAAAUUCAAUUGUAUUCAUGAUAUGAUUAUUUCAAACAACCAAAAAUACUUAAAACAAAAACCCAAUUGUGAAACUAAAAAAAAACCCAAUUCUCAUAUUCUCCGAAGAAAACACUAAAUUAAUUAAUUAAUUUUAAAAAAGGAAACAAACCUAAAUUCAGGUACCAGGCAAAAAGAUUGGGGAAGAAAAAAGAAUAGGAAAGGAAAUGAACCUUGGGAGUCCAAAGCGUGUCGCUUGAAGCAACGCCGUUCCAAGCACGGGAUACAAGGAGAGUCGGUGCUACGCUGCGUGCCUUUAGGUUUUGAAGUAUCUUCAACAUUAUGUCUCCACCAAAAGCCUCCAGUGGAUCCUGCAAUAAUUCUUCAGUUUCUUCUUCUUUGAGUUGUUCUUUUCUUUCCUCUCGAUUUCUCUUCUUUCACAGUUUCAUCUUCGUCUUCUUCUUCUUCAGUAAAACGACAUCGUUUUCCUGUUCUUCUAUUUCUCGCAGUUCCAUUCUGCGUGGUAGUAGCUAUUACUACAGAGCAAGCGAAUGAAAGGAAUCACCCGAAGCCGCAAUUGCAAUAACUCCAAAAAACAUCAAAAUAUAAAAAUAAGUUAAUGCUAAAAUGCCCAUAUUUAAUUUUUAAAAAAAAUUAUUUACUGUAUGUAGAAAUAUACAAUCGAUAAAUUUACUAUUUUUUAAAUAUAAUAAAUUUUACGUGGCUCAAACUCAUUCUCUUGUAGAUAUUAUUGAACUACAAGCCUUUAAGUUAAAAUGCUAAUACUUUUGAAUUAUUAUUUUACUCGAUUUUUUUAUAUCACUUGAUUUAUUAUUCAACUUUGUUAUGAAGAUUGGGGUCCAACUGUGUUACUACGGUCGUAACAUACCACAUUCUUUUGUCUUUUCCUAAUCCACCGUUAGAUUUAAUUCAGACCAAGGGUAAUGGCUAAGAUGUUUUUGUUGGGUUAUUAAUGUUAUACUCCCUAAUGUUUGCUACAAAAUUACAAAAGUAACAAAGUUUAAAAUAUUAACACAUAAGUCCAUAAAUUUACAAUUUAUUAUUCAAUAAUAUUAAAACAUUUUAAUUAUAUUAUUAAAUAUUAUAUAAAAAAUUAUAACAUAAUAUAAUAUUAUUUAAUUAUAUUAUAAUAAUUAAUAAAUAAAAUUGAUUAUUAUUUAAAAAUUUAAUAUAACUAACAAUAAAUACUUAAAUAAUAUAUAAAGAUCUGCUGUACGGCCAAAAUAAAAUUGAUUAUUAUUUAAAAAUUUAGUAUAACUAACAAUAAAUACUUAAAUAAUAUAUAAAGAUAAAAAUAUAAUAUAAUACUACAUUAUUUAAUUAUAUUAUAAAAAUUAGUAUAUAAAAAUUAAAUAUUUUUAAAUAUUUAAUAUAAAAAUAAUAAAUUAUUAAAUAUUAAUAAAUUUGAAUAAUAUUAAAUUAAAAUUAAUAGCAAUCUAAAUAAUGAUAUAAAUAUUACAAUUUAAUACACAUUAAUGACACACACUGUAAUAUAAUGCAUCUAAUGCAAUACAAUAUAUUGUGUCAAAUGACCCAGUUAAUUUCACUAAUAAAUUAAUUUAUUCUUAUAUUUGAAUUAAUAUGUUUAAAUUAAUAUUCUUUCUUAUUAAUUAAUUAGUUUAAUAUAUAGUAAAACCAUGUAUUAGUUACAAACAAUAUUUUAUGAUAAAUAUGAGUAUGAAUUUGAUCUCUUGUUCUUAAUUUGUAGUUAAUAUUUUUUUCAUAAUACUUAUUCAAUAUAUAGUAAAUAAUUUCAAUAUGCAAUAAAAAUAUAUUAAUCUACCAAUUAAUAAUUUUUUAUUGUUUAAUAAGAAGGUAUCAAAAAGUGUGAGGGAGGGUGGCAACUUUCUUGUCGUUUAUUCUUACAUCUACGAGCUUGAUAAAUAAGUUUAGAAUCUUUUAAAAGAAUUUGAAGGCAAAGUCAUUUUAUACUCCACAUGUAUUUGAGAACCUUUUUUCACAUCUCAUGGUCGAUAAUUUUGAGUUAGUGAUAAAAUUUAGUUGCUAAUUGCUAGAGAUAUGGAAUUGAAACUAGUGGGCAUGUAAAUAAUUCAAUCAUUUUUUAUAUCAUUUUAAUUAAUUAAUUUAGUAAAAAUAUAAAAUUAGUUUUAUCAAGGAUAUAUUUGACAUUUAAGUAGGUGUAUGGAGUAAAUUUUCUUUUUAAAACUUUGAUGAUGGUGUGUGAAUUAAUAAUUAAAAAAUACCCUCACAUUUUGAUUUAAGUUUCAAAAAAUCAAAACAAGUAGGACUAAUGAGUCAAAAUUUAAGAUUAUCGGAUUUUUUGUCUAAUUUUAGCAUAAAAUAGGGAUUCUAGUGUAAUUAAUCUAAAAGGACAAAAAAGUGCGGUAUGUUAUCUCUGUGGUAACAUAGUAGUAUCCCUGAAGAUUGAUAAUAAAGUUGAGAAUAUUUUUUUUUAUUUAGGAUAUUUUGGCCUUUUUAGAGUAUGAUUAUGUAAUAUGAGACAGUCGGGGUGUUAUUGAUCUUUUAAAAGAAAUAAAUAUAUAUUUUAUUAAAAAAAUUGUGGUGGGAGAUCACGUGGUUCAGGUACUGCUCUGUAAUGAUGAUAGUUAAUAAUAGUCCGAUAAUGCAUUCUUGCCACGCCGAGCUCCAAAACAAAAUCAUCCUUCAAUUGAAGGACGAAAAUCGGGCGUUUGGGCUCUGACUCAAAUAUGUGGCAAGAUGCUGAGUGAUUGCUUGGAAAAACAGCAAGUCGAUGACUUUGUUGUUUAUAGAGUCUGAAACGUAGCAAAUGGGGAGCAUCCACGCGUUGCAGGAGAGAGGAAAAGUUAGCUGAUACAAGAUCAAUUUGUACUGAGCUGUUACAUACAGUCUGUAACGUAGCUUGUCUGCUCCAAAUAACAUCAAAAUAUUAAAAAGUACGUUAAUACUAUAAUGCCCCUAUUUAAUUUUUAUAAAAAACUGUUUACAAUAACCAAAAAAUAUACUAUCUGAAAUUUGAAAAAUUCUAUGAUACUAUGAUUAAAAUUACGACAUUAUUAUCAUGAUAAAUAUAAGUUUUGUAAAUUACAUAUAAAAUUAUUAAAUAAAAGAUAAAAUUAGUAUAUUAAUAUAUAAGUGGUAAAUUAGUGUUUUCAAAUUACAAACAAAACAAACACUUAUAAAAUAACAUAAAACUUUGAAAUCAAUAUUAAUCUUUCAUUAAAUAAAAUUAGCUUAUUUAUUUAACUUAAUUAAAUAAAGAACAAAGUGAGUCAUCAAUUAAAAAAAAUUGUAUUGAAAACAAUUAGAAUAAGUUUUAUUGAAUUGAUUUAACUAUAAAUUCUAGAUUCAUUCUAUGACAUUCAUUAUUUUUUUUUAUUUUUUAUCAUAGUAUUGUUUACUACAGAGGUUAAUUAAACAAAUUAUUUUUCUUGAAUGCAUUAAGUCAAAACAAAAUAAAAAGAUAUAUAUAUAUAUAUAUUAUCAAUAAAAUUGUAUCUAAUUUUAUGUUUUAUAUAUAUUUUAUGUAAUUUUAAACUUUGCUUCUUACUUGUAUUUAAAGAUCAUUUGUGGUUGCUAUCAAGAAGAUUUAAAAUGAUGAAAAAUCACCUUAUCCUACGAGCAACUUUGAAAAAUAUGAAAAAGAAUAGUUUUUCAAAAUCCAAUUUUAAAAAUAAGUUUUAUCCUUAAUAAAAUUUCACUUAUAUCAUCAUAUGUAUUACAUAAACCCAAAACUAUCAUUAUUCCAUUUAGAAAAAAUAAAUCAAUAAAAAGUAAUCAUUAUUAUAAUGAGGUUGUAUAUUACAUUUUUAAAUUUUUUUAAUAAUUCUUAUAUUAAUUUACAUGUUUUACCUUACAUUUACAAGUCCUAUAUUUUAUUUAUAUAAUUUAUUUUUUAUCUUACACUUAAUGUUGAUUCAUAAGUUUUAUUUUAUAUUUAUAAGUUUUUAUUUUGUUUACCAAUAACACUCUAAUUUACCACUUAUAUAUUAACUGACUUGUUUUACAUUUCAUUUACAAGUCUUAUAUUUUAUUUACUUAAUUGAUGUUUUAUUUUAAACUUAUUAUUGAUUUACAAGUUUUUAUGUUAUAUUUAUAAGUUUUUGUUUUGUUUACCAUUGAUACACUAAUUUACCACUCAUAUAUUAAUUUUCUUAUUUUACCUUCCAUUUAUAAGUCUUAUAUUCUAUUUACAUAAUCUAUAUUUUAUUUUACAAUUAAUUUUUAUUUUUAUUUUUUAUUUAAAUUUAUAUGUCUUAUGUUUAUUUACAUAAUUUAACGUUUAAAUAUGGUAUCGAUGCUGUGAUUUUAAUCACGGCAUUAUAGAAAGACCUAAUUAGCUAAAAUUCUCGAUAUAGAUACUCGUAGUACAUUCUAAAGGUCGACUAAACAUUAAGUUCGAAAAUUUAUUCCAUUAAUACGUGGGGAGAAAUCUACUGUUAUUUAAAUAGAAUAAAUUUUAUAAGACUUAAACUCAUUCUUUCACAAGCACUAUUGAGUUAUAAGCCUACAAACCAAAAUUCGAUUUAUUAUUCAACUUUGUUAUGAAAAUUGAAAAUAAAGUAGAGAAUUUUUUUAUUUAGAAUAUUUUUACCUUUUUAGAGUAUAAUUAUGUAAAAUGAGUUAGUAGGGGGGUGAUAUUGGUAGUAUACUAGUAUGAAAGGAAUUGAAUAAAUUUUUUUCAAAAAAAGGAAAUCCGGAGCCGCAGGCAGGUCACGUGGUUCAGUUGUGCUAAGUGCUCAGUGGUGAUGACUGAUGAUAUCAUUAACUAGUUUUUUACGAAAGAAAUCGAGCCCAUACUGAUCUGAUAACACUUUCUUGCCACGUCGAGCUCCCAAAAGAAAUCACCAUUUAAUUGAUGAACCACAGACGGCCAGUUGGGUUCUGUUUCAUAUACGUGGCAGAAUCCUAAGUAAUUGCUUGGAAUAAUUAACAUAUGGAAUUAUAGAUUUCUGCACGAGCAGUUAAAUGGCAAGUUGUUGACUUGGUUGUUCAUAUUUAGAGGUGGCAAAAUCGGUGAGCGGAUUAUUAUUAAUUUAAAUCGGUUUAAACAUGAUUUAUUUAAUAAUUACGUUAAAAUAUUAAAUAUGAAAUAAAAAUAAAAAUAAAUGAGUGACAUGACAUCAUCCAUUAAAUAAUUGGACAAUCGUGUCACGAUAUCUAAUAACCUGCUUAAUACUUAUUUACACAACAUAUAUCAAAGAUUUCACACUUAUUUGACAAAAAUUCAAUUUUUAUAUAUUGAUAUUAUGAAAAUAUAUAAGUCUACUAAAAUAUUACAUAUUUAUACUACUCAUGUUGUAAUUCCAUUUAUAAUUUCAUAAAAUAAAAUACCAUAUAAAUGUUCAUCCUUCACAAAAUCAUUAUUUAAUUAACUGGGUAAAUGGUUCAAGAAUUUAAACCUAACCCAAUAGAGAAAAAAAUUAUGUUGACAUAUUUAAUAAUUAUGUUAAAUUUAAUGAUUCAAACCUAUUUUUUCAUAAUAUGUGUUUAUGUCUGUUCAGUAUAUUUCAUCAAAUUUUGUCAGUUCAAUUUAUAAUAUAUUAGAUAUUUAAAUAAGAUUUUCUUCCGAAAAAAAAAAUUAAAGUUCAGGCGUUUGUUUCAUACGUGUUCAUGUAAACCCCCGGCCGAUGCAACGUAGCUGGACUCGUCAUGUAAAUAUAUACCACCAAAUCUUUUUUUUUUUUCCUUUCUGAUACAAAGCAUUACUUUCGUUAAUUCAACGAGUGAAUACAAAUGUGCUCGGUUUUUUUUUUUUUUUUGGACAAAGGAAAUAUAAUUUCAUUCCAACAUAAUAUAAUAAUACAACAGCUAAUCCAUAACAAAUUGAAGAUCAAUCUAUAGAUAAUAUGUUAUAAUAAAUAAUUGAGCCUUGAGGAUCAAUCUAUAGAUAGUCUGUUACAAUAAAUAACGGAACAAACCAUUUACUUUCACAGUUCAUGUUGACGAAGAGGGAGAACACAACGCACCUCAAACACAAUUAAGAUGCAUAUCCACAAUACAUCAUGCAUCCAACAUGCUUGAGCUCUACCCAGAACAUCCCUAAUACUAUGUCUAAAUCAGGUUGUAUGCAUACUUUCAAGUUUAUGUCCGGAAAAUAUGCCCAUUCUGUUUUCUUUCGUUUCAUUUAUCCAUAGAUCUAGGUUUGUGGAUUUUUUGUUCCAACCUAUAUGGUGGCUGUGUUCCCACGCUCUAUGGUGGCUUGUGUUUGUGUUGCUGUGUUGGUUGUCUUUCAGAUUUCAUGUCUACAAGGAUCAGAUUUGAUAAAUAAGAGAACGUAAAAGAUUUUCUAUAGUUGAUCUGUUACAUUGCUGGUUGUAUUUUGAACCUAAAUUUAAUGUUUUUAAUUAGUCUUACGGGAGCAAAUUUAUAAUUGAACUAGCAAGAAUAAAAUUUUCCUGGCGACAUUUGAAUUGAUCGUGUACGACAUUAAAAGACUGUAUCAUUACAUGAUUCUUUAGUAUACUGAUACUAUUCGCACCACAUCAAAAUACGAAAUCAAUGAUUGUUUAUCUGUUGACUGCAAUGGAUUAUUUGUACAUUAAUCCAAAUGUUUGUGUAAUUGUCCGUGAUAGACUCACUAUUAUUUUCUUAUACGUUAAAUGGAUUAAAAGUGAGGGUUUUGUGUGUGUGUGUGUUCAUAUUUCAGCAAUAAAGGUUCUUGUUCUGUCGGUGUAAUUGGAUGGAUGGUUUUGCUUCAGUGUUCUGUCUCUCUCUUUCGUUUAUAGUUUUCACCAAUUAAUUGAGAGAAAACAAAUAUUGUUUGCUAAACGGUUGAGUAAAUCAACUAUAUAUAACUAGGAUCUGUUAAGUUACUUGGGUAUUAACGACUAAUUAUGUUUUUAAUUACUUUUGUUUAUUAAUAACUUUUAACAAAAAAAUCUAAUUGCAUUGAUAAUUUGAGUAAAUGUCAAAUAUUUUCUUUACAUUCAUAAGUGAAAAACUUUUAACAAAAAAUCUAAAUUUUCUCACUUUAAACUUUUAUCCCUCUAAAAAUUUUAUGACUAACCUGAUCGUUGAAGGGUUUACGCCACUAAAGUCGGCCCCACUAAAGCCGGCCCUUUGACUGUUUUUCUUAUGUUUAUAGCGCAUUAUCUAAUUAAGGUUAUCCCGUCACCUAAGGAAUAUAUACCUCUUACUCUUAAGAAAAAAUUCAAAUGAGUGUAAUUGAACUUCGAAAAUAAAAGGCACAACAUGAGAAGCCCACAUCAAGAGUUCAACAAAGUUUGAUCUAAUAAAGAGAAAGUUCAUGAAAUUACCAUUUAAUAAAUUGGGACAAAAUUUUUACGAGUAAAUUGGCGUCGUUUAUGAGGACUUCUAACUAAAAGUCUUGGAACUCUACUGAGAGCAUGGAUGUGAGCUAUGAGCAUUAUGACCUUGUGUUCGAAUACGGUGAGUUCUAGGGUUGAGGAAGCCCAUUCUCAAGGAAGAAGACCAUUGAUGGAUUCAUCAUUUGAUGGCCAGCUACAUGGGCAAGCUUGAUUCCAAAGUAAAGUGGAUUGAUUAGCUUAGAACUUUGAUAGAAUGUUUUAUCAAUUCCAAGCUCAAGUUGAGGAAAGGGAGGACUCAAGCGAUCCUAGUGACGAUGAAGUUGUGAUGAUGAACUUGAUUCGGGCUCCUCUAGAGCAAGGUACAUGGAAGGCUUGGAAGAAAGUGACCUUAGACACAAAGAUCUUGGAGGAUAGGGGCUAGAGAAGUCUUUCUCUCUCUAGGCUUUAUCUCUUUAAAUUUUAUUUUUUUAAAAGUCCAGUGAUUGGCCUGAUCGUUAAAGGGUAUACGUCAUUAAAACUAACUAUUUGAUUGUUUAGGUUAUGUUUGUAGGCAUUGUCUUAUCAAGAUCAUUCUCAUCACUAUUUUUUUUAAUUAGCUAUUAAAAAGUUGAAAGUUUUAUUUUAAUUUUAAUUUUAAGUUGGUGUCAGGCGUAUACUAAAAACAUCUUAAAACAAAAAAAAAAUACUAUCAAUAUGAUUUUAGCGUAAGAAUAUUUUAAAAAAUUCUACAAAAAUAUUAUCAUUUUAUCCCCAUCCAUGAAAACAAAGAAUCCACCGAAUGCAUUUAACAAUGAAAUUUUUAUAUUUAAUUUCUUCCAAAAUUGCAAAAUUAUUUGUUCACCAACUCUCUUUUUUAAUUAAGAUUUGCUUAAAUUUAUAUAAAUUUAGGACAUAAAGAUUGCCUUUAAAGAGGGGAAAAAAAGGAAAGAAAGAAAAUACGGUGACCAAUAAACCGUUUAUGAAUAGUAUGUUUAUUUUAUGAAAAGGAAGCAAUUUAUUUUUAGCGAUUUCUUACAUAUAUAUCUUUUGAUGAAGCCAAACACAUGAAAGAAUAAUCUCAACACAAUUAAACAAGUGACAGUGGGCAUGCCUAAAAAAGGAGCUAACAUAACACUUAUUAGUUCUGAUGGUUGCAAAUUUGCAACAUCCGAUAAGGAGUAGCCUCCUUUAAACUUAAGUCUAGAGUUCGAGCCUUGCUAAAAAGAUGGAGUAUAUCUUUUUCCAGUGACGAUUUCUUAACCCAUGAUUUUCUUUUUCACUGAAAUAUCUUCUGAUGACCAAAAACGCAAAGAAGAAAUAGCUCUAAGCCAAUUAAACAAGUAAUAAUGGCAAGGCCUAAAGAAGGUGCUGACAUUGCAUAUGUGCCCAUAACGAAUGCAAUCACCAUUGCUCCCAUGGAAAUGAUGGCGAACCAAAUGGAAGCAGCGAACAAAUCAUCAUCGAAUUUUUUGAUUACUUCAAGCUCAAGAGAUACUAUAAAGUGAAUAAAGAAGGCAGAAAGAGAAAGGAUCAUGGCAAUGGUAUCUGUUACCAUAAAUGCCUGAAAAGCUGUAUUUCCCCUCAGGAUUGCAGCGCCAUUUUCGCUUUUUUAACCACCAGUAAUAAUGAAAGAUGUUGCGAAGGCCUGUUGCUACGAGUGCAGCCACUACCAGAUGUGACGCUCUAGUAUCCUUGAAAUCAUCUUUAGGAUAAAUAGGCUCUUGCAAUACAUGUGGUUCUCUUAUGGAUACGAGUAUUGUCCUGUGCCAAAAUCUUUGGAUAAUUUUUGAAUUUCUUCCCGCAAUUUACAUUUGAAUAUUAAUUAAUAAAUUAAUAUACAAUUUGAAACCAAAUAAUAAUGUUUGGGGGAAAAACAGAAAAAGUAGCAGAACACCACGUGUCGAUGAACAGAAUAACUCCGGUAUAAUCUGAGGUACCCGGCAUAAUUCGAGGUACCCCACUUAAUUCGAGGUACCUCUCAUAACUCGAGAGUAACUCAAGGUACCCCGCUUAAUUCGAGAGUAACUCAAGGUACCCUGCAUAAUUCGAGGUACCCCACAUAACUCGAGAGUAACUCGAGUUACCCGGAAUAACUCCAGCAUAAUUCGAGGUACUCGGAAUAACUCCAACAUAAUUCGAGGUACCCGGAAUAACUUGAGGUACCAUGCAUAACUCCAGAGUAACUCGAGGUACCCUGCAUAAAUCGGGGUACCCCGAAUAACUCGAGGUACCCAACAGAUCAGAUGCAGAAGAACCCUCUGAAAAAGUCCGCCAUAAGAAAUGUUUCCACAUAAUUCGAGGUACCCGGAAUAACUCGAGGUACCAUGCAUAACUCCAGAGUAACUCGAGGUACCCCGCAUAAAUCGGGGUACCCCAUAUAACUCGAGGUACCCAACAGAUCAUAUGCAGAAAAACUCUCUGAAAAAGUUUGCCACAAGAAAUGUAUUCACCUCUUAAAGGAUAAUGUUUGAUUUUGUCAGAAUUAGAUAUCAAAAUGUCAUACUGAAAAGUAGCGACAGCCGCCUGCUACCUCUGCCAAAAGUGAAGGACAAUGUCCCAAGGACAGUGGUCCUCAGCCGCCUACCAGACAACCACUGCAGAGGUACCCUAGACCACUCUCCAGCGCGCGCCACGUUUCCAAAGGAUAAGAUACGCCGCGAAUGCCUUCUUGAUUCCCAAACAUGCACAUAACAGCCCAAAAAUGAUAAAAAUGUAAAAAGACGUGAAAGACCUGAAAAUGGAUAGCCCAUAGCCAAAAAGAAUAUGCCACGUGGCAACUGAGGUACUCCAUAAAUAAACGUGUCUAGGUUUUAUUCUCCAUAAAGUUCUCAUUCACUCACACUCCACAAAAUAAGUUUUCUUCAACCUUAAACCUUGAUUUAUAGAGGGCUGGCAAGCUCUCUUUACUAUUAAAAAGCUUGAGUUUUCUAACUUGAGCGUCGGAGUGUGAACGCCGGGAGUACCCCGGCUUCACCUCAAAUCUCUAUUUCACUGUUUUGCAUUGGUGAAGCUCGUUUCGAAGACCAUUUUUCUUGGUUUAAACCUUUCAUCAUUGUUACCUUCAGAAGCACUACACACAAAAGCUUGAGUUUGCUAACUUUUGAAUUCAGAAGCAUCACACACAACAAACUAGCGAGGUACCUCGUUUCCCUUAAAAAUAUAAAUUCAUUGUUCUAGAUAGAUUUGCCUUUUCCUACCCCCAAAAUCUGUCGAAAACAAAUAAUAAUAAUAAUAAUAAUAAUAAUAAUAAUUGCCUUGAACUUAGGAUAACAAUAGUCCAACAUUUUGCAACGCUAACAUUUUGCUUGUUGAUGGCCUCAUAGUGGCCUUUACUCUUCCAGAUAAAUCGUCAAAGAUUUCUUUUCGAUGAACAGCAGCAAAAAAAUGGACAGUAGUGUUCCCCUUGGCAUCCCCCUCAUCCAUAAGACUACUUGCUAACAUAUUAUCUACAAGAUUUCUUAAUUCUUCAACUUCAAACCUAAACCCAGCAUAAUGAAGAAAAUUUCAUCCCCAGUUAUCGACCAGUUCAUAACAUUCUGGAUUUCUAGAAAUAAUUGCUUCAACUACUCUGGCAUCCCUUCGGCCCGUGUACCAAAUGAAGAGCUGUCAUCUUUCGAUCUUUGUCAGCAAUCUUUGCUGCAGUUCGAUCAAUCUUUAAUAUUAGCUUAAGUAUCAAGUAAUUUCGAUGAUACGCAGCGUAAUGAAUUGGAGUCCACCAACACUGGUCUAUUCCUUUGAUCAUACUCUUCUUUCCUUCAAAUAACUGUUGAACCGCACAAUCAUUCUCUUUUGAGAGUAUUAAGACAAAAGAUGAAUAAAAUUAUAGCUCAAAUUAAAUUUUUAACAUCCAACCUCAAAUUUAAACUCCAGUGUCCAACUAGAUAUAAUUCCCCUGUGCCAACAGCAAACUUAAUUAAAACAACACUCCAAGAUUACUAGAAACAGAAUGAGCAAAGUUCUUGUAGAAAAAAGAUAUCAAUAUUGAAAUUCCUACUGAAAGGGUAUGAUUAAACUUACAUAAAUCAAUGUGCAUUGUUGCAGCAUGUAAAGCCUGUCUUUCCAUUGGGGCCUUCAUAUAUAUAUGGGACACGGAUGUGCAGCUUUUCAAAAUGGCAACCACCGUAUGAGAAGAGUGCUCAUACUCGGCAGCCAUGCAAAGUGGUAUUUUGUUGUACUUAUUUGCAUAAUAUGGAUAAUUAGGGUCGUCUCACGUCAAUAUUUUCACCACAUCGUCAUUUUAAUGAAAUACUGCCUCGUGAAGAGUUGUAUGCUUCUCUUUAUUCGUCAUCCUAAUCAUCUGCCUGGAGGCUCCUACCCCACUUUCGAGCUCUUCAUCUUCGUGUUGAACUAAUUUUGCUCUUUCAAUAAGAACACUCACUAUAUCACAAUGGUCGAAUUUUGCCGCAACGUGACGUGAUCGAGUAUCGCCUUUGGCAGUAACUUGCAGUAGCAGCCAUGGGCAUAUCUAAACUAUUUCUCCUACAAACCUGGUUGACACAUUUUCUGUCUUCUGCAAUUUGAUGUUGAUAUGCAGGAUUGUGUUCUUGAUCUUGCUGUUAACAGGCUCUCAAUUACCUCUCUUGCCAUAUCUUUGAAGGGCUCCAAAUUGCCCGCAGCUGCAACUUUGAACAAAUUUGGGUCUAUUUGUGGCUGACUGGUCUCACCAUUGUUGUCCAAUAAUGAAGCUUCCUCAAUCUCAAUGGAAACAGAAUUCAUGUCGGCGAAGUUGAUCUAUUAGGCAAGGGUGAAUAGUAUCUCGGAUGCACACAACACUUAAUUUUGAAGUGAAGAAAAAGAGAAGCCAUAAUUCUAUAAAUAGGACAAGUAGUAUAAUUUUGCUUUGGACCUUUUUUUUUUUUCUUCCUUUUGAAGAUAGGGGAUUUACAACCACUCCUUUGGAAAUUUCUGAUGAACAAAAGAUCAAUAGACUAACAAUCGAGUGAUAUUUUAUUAAUAAUAAUUAUAUUUAUGAUUUUAACAAAUUGAUCAUUUAAAAUAUGAUAAAGAAUACAAAAUUGUAUAAAGGUUUUUUUUUUUAAAUCUCAUUAAUUGAUCAAUUUACUAAGUUCAUCUAUUAGUCAAAAUUAGAAUGAUAAAAAAUCAUUAUAUAAUAAAGAUUCUUAAUUUAUCUGUUAUUGUUUAUAGCAGUUGUAGUACAUAUAUUAAUUAAAAUUUAUUAUGACUGUAAUUUUCAAUAUUUCAAAAAUCCCCCUCUCUAUUUCUUUUCUUUUAUUGUGCGUUUUGGUUAUUUUUUAGGGAGAUAGGCCCCUGAUGCAACUUACAGUUACAGUUGACAUGCCUAGUAACGAGAGAAUCUUGCUCACAAUCAGUAGAGACUAGAGAGUCUAUGGUCAAAAUUCUUUUUUUUUUUAAAGAGUAAUUUGAUUUUUCAACCACUUUCCUUUUUUGUGGUCAACUAGUCAUAACUCACAAGGCUGACAGUCACUAAAUUUAGGGUGCAUUUGGGAUUGAGGUUGGACAACUAUAGCUACAGCAGUAAAGUGUUUGGUAAACACUAGCUGUUGUAACUUGAAAGAUAUGUUAAUAUGAUUUUUCACUUAUAUAAUGGAGAAUCUAUUAUAUCUUUAAUAAUUUUGUCAAAAUUAUUAUUUAAAUUUAUAUGUACUACAUAUUAUUAAUUUUUGUUUCAUAAUUACAACUUUUUUUCACAGCAGUUGUAGCUUAAAAGUUACAAUAUCUCAAUCCAAACACACCCCAAAGUGGCUUCUUCACAACCGGCAACUAUCCACUUACCAUUGGUUGAAUGCGGGAGUGGAGUCGUGUCUUUUGAAAGUUAAAAUAAAGUUAGAAGGAAACAAAUUCUCAAUGUGGGUUCUUAGAUCAAUUUUAGGACAACCACAUGAUUUUGCUGAUGGAAUGAAUGUCAUUAACGUGCUUAUUGUUGGGAUUUAGAAAAAAAAUAAUCUGUUUAUUUUUGGGAUUUAAAAAAAAUGAGGAAUGAGCAUUAUUAAUAAUAUUUAAUUGCUAAAAAUACAAAGAAAUAUAAAUAAAUUUUGAUUGAGUCUCAUAAAUUUAGGAAUGAGAAAGAAUUUCAUUUAAUUAGAUGGAAGAGGCAGGAAUAAGAAUGGAGAAAUGAGAAUAAAGAGUAAAAAUCGUUUAUCUUUAUUAAAAAUUAAAACUUUCUUUUUACUCCAUUUUGGUAACUUACAAUCAUCUAUUCUAAUUUUAAAAACAAAGUAAACACAUCAAGUUUGGAAUAUUGUUGAUUUCGAUCUCAUUCUUGUAGUUGAAGUAGACAAUUUAUUCUUCUACAUUUUGAUUCCAAUUCAUUAUAAUUCUUGUCGAUUAGUAUUCAUUGUUAAUAAACACACUAUUAGUAUAUUUUCAAAGAGACUAUAUUUUUUAGUUUCAUUCUAAUUCAUCUCAAAUCUCUCUCAUAUUGAAUACUUUGUGGAAAUUUAUUAAAGAUAUUUCAAAAAGAAUUUAUCGACAAAUCUAGCUGCCAUCUAUAUAAAUAUAUUAGUUUUUUUUUCUAAUUAGUGCUUCUUAAAAAGAAUCUAGCUCAGCCAACCCAAAUCAAUUUUUUUCUCCCUCAGCCUCUCAUAGGAUUUGAAUUCGGGUAAUUAAUAAAAUAAAAUUAUUUAAAAAUCACUCGCCUAAGUCUUUGAGGUAGUUUAAUCUUAGAUAAACAUUAAGGACUUAGUUAUCAAUUAUCCUAUUAAAAUUAGUAUGUUUGAGCAUAUGGCUAAGGUAAGCCAAAUCAAGUACAGUUGACGUUAUAUGUGAUAGAUUAAAUGGUUUAUAGAAGUGAGUCCUCUGCGAUAUAUAUCAUACAACCUAAUGCAUUUGAAUUUGUGAAUAUUGAAUUUGAAAGUAUAUAUUUGGUAGUCUAUUUUAGAGUAAUUAAUUUUAAUUAAAAAUAACUGUUGUAGUAUUAUCUCAAAACGUCACCUAAAUUGUAAAUUUAAUUGAUAAAAUCUCACGACUAAGGUCAAGAGGUUUAGAGACUUUACCUAAAAGUAUAAUGGUAAGUAUUGGCAUUUUGCCUUUGCCCGCUUUAUCAUGGUCAAAAAUCGCCUUUUGGGCCAUGGAGUGGCUCAUGUGCUUGUUUUGCACAAUCUUUAGGAAUCCAAAGUCGAUUUUGUUUUUGGUUCACAUAUAUUUCCAUGGAAUUCAGCAGAGAGCAGAUAAUUAAGCUAAUUCGGAGUUGGGAUUCCUUUCUGUUCAGUGGUGGGACCAAAAAGGGAGGGAGAAUGGGCUGAGCUUGGACAAGCCCAGGCUCAAGUCUGAGCUCAUAAAAGCCCUUCCACGUUUGGAGGGGCUGAACAGAACCUGGCCCAUCAUGUGCCUGAGCUUCCAAAGUCUCAACCAUUUCAUUUAUUAGUUUUCGAUGGUUGUUGCAAUAAUUCCUUCAAAGUAACGUCCCCCCCUUUUGGUCUUUCUCGGUCUUAAUUCAACUCAUUUGGUGAUACAGGAUUUGACUUUAAAAUGAUAUGUCAUUAUCUCUAUUGAAUGGUAAAAUUUUUAUUUACUUAUACAAGUAAUCAUGUUCUUAGCUCAUUAGUACAACUUUUGAAUCCCAAUUAUUAUUGGACUCGAUUUCUCUUCCAAUUAAGUUGGAUAGGAGUAGAUUUCUCCUCCAUUAAUAUGAGUAGAGCAAAUAUCACUAUGGUACUUUGUGAUAAUAGAAAUUCAAACUGUGUCAUACUAGACUUAUCAAGAAUAGUUUUGAUAAAUUUUUUAUUGUAAAUAUUACUAAAAUUCUGAUGGCAAUAUGUUAACCUAUUAAAAAAAACCAAAAAAAUAAAAAGUAAAAAAUACUAUACCACCCUUAAACAUGCAUCAUGGAUUUUCUUUACUCAUGUCUAAUUGAAGAUUUAUCAUGACGCACUAUAUAAAGAGAUAAUUUUUUUCAUUUUUUUUUUUGUUGACAAAGUAAUCAAGGUUUUAUUCCAUCAAUAUAAGAAAGUACGAACAAUUUAAAAUAUUAAAUUUGAUUUUGAUUCCUCUCACCAGUUCAAUCUAAUCAUUGACAACAAAAUAGACCGGUCUGCAUCUCAAAUUUGAUUUUUAUUAAAACAUCAGUGAUUAAUGUACAAUUAAAAUAAUUAUUGAUUAUUAGCAAAGAUUGAGUAAAUUAAUUAAUGUUUAUGUUAAAUGAAAAUAAAUCAUUUUAUUGAUAAACAAUGAUAGUGACUUACUACAAUCCCAUGAUCCAAAUCACAAGCAAGAAGAAGCUCAAGCCAAUUAAACAAGUGAUAAUAGCAAGGCCUAAAGAAGGUACUAACAUUGCAUACGUUCCCGUAACGAAUGCAAUCACCAUUGCUCCCAUAGAAAAUAAGGUGAGCCAAAGGGAAGCACCAAACAGAGCCCCAUCGAAAUCUUUAGUUGCUUCAAUUUUAAGAGACAUCAAGAAGUGAGUAAAGACGGCAGAAAGAGAAAAGACCAUAGCAAUGGAAUCUGCUACUAUAAAUGCUUGAAAAGCUUUAUUUCUCCUCAGGAUUGCAGUUCCAUUUUCGCUUCUAUAACCGCCAGGAAUGGUGAAAGCUGCUGCGAAGGCUACCGUUGCUAUGAGUGCAGCCACUACCAAAUGUGAUUCUCUUGUAUCCUUGUAAUCAUCUUUGGUAUCAUCAUUUUGCCNNNNNNNNNNNNNNNNNNNNNNNNNNNNNNNNNNNNNNNNNNNNNNNNNNNNNNNNNNNNNNNNNNNNNNNNNNNNNNNNNNNNNNNNNNNNNNNNNNNNNNNNNNNNNNNNNNNNNNNNNNNNNNNNNNNNNNNNNNNNNNNNNNNNNNNNNNNNNNNNNNNNNNNNNNNNNNNNNNNNNNNNNNNNNNNNNNNNNNNNNNNNNNNNNNNNNNNNNNNNNNNNNNNNNNNNNNNNNNNNNNNNNNNNNNNNNNNNNNNNNNNNNNNNNNNNNNNNNNNNNNNNNNNNNNNNNNNNNNNNNNNNNNNNNNNNNNNNNNNNNNNNNNNNNNNNNNNNNNNNNNNNNNNNNNNNNNNNNNNNNNNNNNNNNNNNNNNNNNNNNNNNNNNNNNNNNNNNNNNNNNNNNNNNNNNNNNNNNNNNNNNNNNNNNNNNNNNNNNNNNNNNNNNNNNNNNNNNNNNNNNNNNNNNNNNNNNNNNNNNNNNNNNNNNNNNNNNNNNNNNNNNNNNNNNNNNNNNNNNNNNNNNNNNNNNNNNNNNNNNNNNNNNNNNNNNNNNNNNNNNNNNNNNNNNNNNNNNNNNNNNNNNNNNNNNNNNNNNNNNNNNNNNNNNNNNNNNNNNNNNNNNNNNNNNNNNNNNNNNNNNNNNNNNNNNNNNNNNNNNNNNNNNNNNNNNNNNNNNNNNNNNNNNNNNNNNNNNNNNNNNNNNNNNNNNNNNNNNNNNNNNNNNNNNNNNNNNNNNNNNNNNNNNNNNNNNNNNNNNNNNNNNNNNNNNNNNNNNNNNNNNNNNNNNNNNNNNNNNNNNAGAGUAGUUUAUUGUCUUAUGUUAAUAAGAGAAGAUAAAAGGGUUAGGUUAGAAGCCAUAAAAGUGAGUUAAUAUGAAAAAAAUAAAAAUUGAUGGGAUAUUCUCCCAUAAUCUAUUAAUGUAAGUUAUUAGGAAAAAACUAUUUAUUCCGACUUUAACCCCGAAUCCGCGUCCCGAAUAUUGCCAGAAACGGUGUGUUUGCUUUGCUUUUCCUUUUAAUUCCAGUUGUACGGUGCGUUUUGCUCUGGUUGCUUUCCUUUUAAUUCCAGCUGUGCAGCAUGUGAGCAUUCUCUUUGUCCUUCUUUUUGCGCCUGAACUACAACACUCCGCUCAGAACUUCCAAUCUGCAGACUACAAACUGCAAAACCCCAGAGCUUCCAAACUGCAAAAUGCCAUGGUCGUUUAAAAUGUGCAGACCUAACUACUCAAUUACGCAUGGUCUUUCCUCCCCCCGAGAAAGAGAAAUGUUAACUGCUGAAAAUUUGGAACAACAAUUUCUAGAGUUUCAAUUUCCCCCGCAAGCAUUAGUUUUGAUCUUAUUCUUCCUACAUUUAGUGAUUGUUUUUAAAAUCGUGAGCAGUUUGAUUUUAAAUUUAUAAAUCUUGAGCUAUUUCAUUUUAAUUUGUGAGCUAAAUCAUGAGCAUUUGUAAAUUUAUAUAUCAACAUCAAUUAGCUUUAAAUUUUCACAGGUAUAAAAUUGUAAAUUCUUUAGCUCAUUGCUAGAAGAAAUCUUAAUCUUUCAGGCAAACAACAGAAACUUAACAAGAGAUCCUCAAGAAAGUGUAAGUUCGAGAUAAGGUGAUAAAACUCUUCAUCAAUAAACUAUAUCGAAUUCAGCUUCACUUUUAAAAUGUGCAGACUUAACUACUCAAUUAGGCAUGGUCUUUCCUCCCCCCGGAAAGAGAAUUGUUAAUUGCUGAAAACUUAGAACAAUAAUUUCUAGAGUUUCAAUUUCCUCAACAAAUAAUCUAAUUCAUAUAACCUUGAGUUUGACAGCCCUUGAGACACACAAAUGCUUCAAGUCCCAACAAUCAUAACAAAACAAAUCUUCAAGCAAGGAGCAUUCACCAGUAAGCCAUCAGACCAUCUGAUCAUUUACACACAGUAUACACAGUAUUUUCACUUAUGACUUCAAAACCUAAAUCUUUUACCAUCUUCUCAAUGGCCAAUCCCAAUCCAUUCACCAGUCAUACGAGCUGAUACUUUAACAUCUAGAAGAGUCAGGAAUACUCUCAAUUUCGGCAAAAAAACCUUACGCUUGCAGAACUGAAGCAGGGAAUCGUCUACAUAUUCCAUAAAUUUUUCAUCUUCCUUUAUUGACCAACAAUUUCCACCAUUCAACCCACUUGACCCCCAACGAAGUAAUUCAUUUUGAAAUCCACAAUAAGAAUGGCAUAUGUAACUAAUUCCAUCUCUUUGUGAGUGUCGGCUAUCGCGUGACUGUUGGUGAUGGCAACGGAGAUCUCGAUCACGUGGCGGUGGUCCGUCGUCUGUGCCGGAUGAGUGUGUAUGAAAACAAAAACAAAAUCAGAAAUCCAAAUUGCCUAACUAAUUUGGUAGAUGGAUGUUUUCUGACCGAGUCUCCGUUUGUUCCCAUAAUGGCGGUGAGAAUCCGAUCGAGUCUCGAUGACAGCUCAUUGCUACGACUCGUGACUGUGUCCCUUGAGUCUUUAUUUGAAAAUCCAAAUGCCGACGACGACGGCUGCCUCCACGAACGGUUCUGAAAUCACACCGUGCGUUGAUGACGUGGCGGUGGCGAUUAACAACAGGAACUUCAACUCGGAGGAGAGGUUCAACGACUGUGAUUUUUUGCUGAAGCGGUCGUAUUUGUUCGGAUUCGAGCGGAGUCUUGCGUCGGAGAGGAUGGUGACGGAGGCGGUAACGGCGUCGCCAUGGAGGCACAAGAGGGGGAGUUUCUGGAGCAAACGGCUGUCUCUGUUUGGCUCAUUGACGAAGUCUAGAGCCUUCUGGAGCAAAGGAUUAUAUACGUCCUUUUUGUUUUCCUUUUACUGAGAUUGUAGCUAAAGCCGGUUACCCAUUUUCUAAGUGUUAAACCUCAGCCGUUGAUUACCUUUCUUUACGAUCUAAAGGGUCAUUUGCAAAAGGACAAAUGACUGGGGUACCAAACCUCUGACGCAAUGUAGCUGGACCCUAUUAAAAGAGAUAAAGAAAAAGUCAAUUGAUAAAACGGCAGUAAACACUACAUUGGAGUAUGUGUUUCUUCCUGUCUUUCACUUUAGUCAAGCUUUCUCAUUGGAAAGUUAUUCUAUAUUUCUAUGUCUAUUUGGCGAACCGGCAGCACUUCAUUCUAGACACAUAGAAGCAGGUGUCCUGUACCACCAACCCUGUGGCCAUCAGGAACACUGGAGUAGCAGUAGAGGAUAUUCGACAUUUCCCAGCCCCAGUCCUUCUUCCUAGAGACAAGCAUAUGCGGCCAGCAGCGGUUUAUUCUAACAUAGUGCUCCCUAAUCUUUCCUUCACCAACAACACUGGUAACUAUAGAGUAACAGCAUUCAUGCCCACCCCAUACCUUGUCACCAGGAUCUGCAGUUUGACUCCCAUCUUCAUGAAAGUAACGGUGCAUUAGAGGGCUAGUACCCUUCCAGUAGGGAUCGAGAUUAAGCCAAUACUCUGGUACCACCUGAAGGCAAAAUGGCAUUCAAAGGCAUUCAUCCGAUCAAUUGAUCAUUUCAGUUUCCAACAAAAUAGUAGAAAGCUGCACAGUAAAGUAAAGGACACACAACAAAUGCCUUGGAUGCAUGCUAAGAAAUGUUUGAAUAUAGGAUUACCAGGAUUAUCAUUUACUUGUGACCAGUCCAGGGAAUAGUUACAUGAGUGAGUGCCUGAAUUAUGAGCAAUGCCUUACAAAUAGGCAGAUUAUAAUUCAUGAGUUUCGUUCCUCAUGGUCCGAAAUUUCAUUACCAAGGCUACACAUGAUCAAACUUUUAAAGCGUCAAAACAUUAAUGUUUUAUAUGUUCACAUUUCAAACUCAUGCAAGUUCUAGUAAUUUUGGCAGCACAUCAAGGCCAGACUGAAAUCAAGAGGCGAGUCACCACUCACCAGACCUUACCAAUAAUUCAUAACGUAUAAGAAGCACUGUACUAAAUUACAUACCUCGUUAAAAUGAAACUCCCAAACAUGAUCACAAAGGUCUUCUUUCAUGAUACGAGUCUAAGAAAAUUUAAAAAAAAGAAUAGUUGGUGAUAGCUUGCUCAAACAUGCAUAUGGAGAGUGAGUGAUUCAAAAGAGAGACAGGAGAACAAAGGGAGAUUGAUCAGCACUCACGCGUUUUCCAUCCGUGACAGACAAUGAAUAUGCGGCCAGCUUUCAUAACCCCUGGACUACAGCUGAACGAGGUAUGUGCGCUUCCCCCAACCACAGUUCCUCGCACUAAAAUAGACAGGAAACUCAAGUGAAUUAUCUUUACUCAGUUACUCUUCAAAGUAGAAGCAUGACCCAUUAAGUUACCUGGAGAACUGAAAAAAAUAAAAAUAAAAAUAAAAGGUAGAUAUUCUCUUCCGGGUAGGUUUCAAAUCAAGCAGAGAAAAUAACUGAAGUUAAGUUAAAAAUAUAUUUAUCUUCACAAAUCAUGCAAUCAGAACGAAUAAGCAACUUAGGCCAUAAGGCAGUAAAAACGUGCAUUGGCAUUCACAGUUCAGUUUGGUUUUAUAUAAAAAUAUACCCCAAUCCUUUAAAUAAACCAAUAAUUUACCCAAGGUCUAGUUUCAAUCAUAAGAAAGAGCUUCCUAGGGCCCAGGAUUUUGAAAAAUAAAAUAUACCAACAAUAUACCUCAACUAAGUUACUUUACAUAGAUAUAUCCUUAAGGGGUGAACAAAGACAAAUAGAUACUAGACAAAAAAUAUUCAGCUUAAAUCAAGAAUACUCAGACGAAUUCAAGUUGGUCAAGAAAGCCAAGUCGAGUAGUAAAUUGAGUCAAAAAUAAGUUGAGUAUUCAUAUAAUGCUCCUGGCGGACAAGAAAUCCUGUAAGCUGGAUUUAGAUCCAGUACUGAGCUUGGCUGUGCUCAUCUCUUCAUAAUCAUCUACCACACAUGCAUGGAUAGCAAUUUUAGGUGAAGAUUUAAUUAAUUUUAUAUUCUUAUUGUUGAGAAGUCAAUAUUAGCCCAAAUAAGUCCACACCUAAAUUAAUUUGAUGUCAUUGCUUACAUCAAUUUAGUUAGGUGAAAAUUAGGUAUUUUUCCCAUGUUUAAUUUCAAUGGUUUAAAUUAGUUUGUGGUUAUUUUAAUGAGUGGUUUAGAUUGUUUCUUGUAAUCUAUAAAUACCUCAUUUGUAUUUGAGUUUUAUAAUUCAACAAUCAAAGCUUUAUUAUAAGCAUUUGAAAGUUUUCUUUAGAGUUCUUCUCUUUUGCAAUUUUGUGAGAUUAUUCUAAAGAGAGUUUUUCUUCUUCUUGAUCAAUUAGAGUUUUUACUCUAUUUUG